rnacentral:lncRNA from 1 species
CACCUCCAGCUUGGACUUUAACAUAGUUCUUGUCCGAGAGUAUCCCGUUCUGUAACGAUCGAGCCAAGUUGCGCCUGGAGAUCCUUAUUCAGUCGAGACCAUUUGUCGGCUUUUUCCUCUCAUCCCCUGGAGCUGAUCUUUGGCCGAUACCAAAUCCUCUUUGGUGGAAUCCCGCUCCGAGGCCAGGAUAUCCAUUUUUCUCCUCAACUCCCCAGCUAAGGCUUUGACCUCGUCCAUCUCGGCCCCAUGUUGGUCGAUCAGGUCUAUCUUUUCUUAGACCUGUGAGGUAGCAACAUUAGCAUUUGCGAUCAAACUCUCAUUAUUAAUCUCAUAUUGCCUUUUCAACUAGAAGGGCAUGUUCCCGUUUCACCUUCGAGGCCUCUUUUUGAGCCCUUUCUAGCUCGGCUUGGAGGAUGGAGUGGUCCCUGAGGACCUCAUCUUUUUUUCUCACAAAGUGCUUUGUACCUGCUCCUUGAGCUCGAACUCAAGGCGACUCACCUCCAUCCGAGACCGGUAGAAGCUCUCAUGAUGUAGCACCGAGGCUUGAGGUUUAAGAAAUGUCAAAAUCGUUAGAAUACGCCAAGAUAAAGUGGACUCUUUAAAGAUACGAGGAAAAGAAAAUAUACCUUGUUCAGUGCCUGCUGUGCCUCGUUGAAAAGGCUCGGCGCGUCCACCUCAUUUAUCUUCACUUGGCCCGCUUCGGUUACCAAGGAACGAAGGUAGCUGGCUAUACCCACCAGCACAGAUAGCAUUCUAGUAUCUGUCGGUACCGUAUACAUGACUUUUUUCUUAUGGUCAGGAUCCACACUCGGGGCGGGGAACUGCUUCAAAAGCUUUGGGCUCGAACUCAGCGCGUCUGACCCCAACAACACAUCCCUUUUUGGGAUCUCCAGGUGGCUAAAACCGAAAUAGUCUUCCAGUGUACCGACGUCCAUACCUUCAAAAAAUAAAUUCAGGGCUUCAUCAGUGGCCUGUGAUGCCUCUGUCGACUUUUCUGUAAUGGCUUGAGCCUCAUAGAAAAGAGGCUUCGCGUGAGACGGUGACUCCGGGACGUCAAUGACUUUGGAGGCCUCUCUCGUAAUUGGAGUAGCUUCUAGAGGGGCCGUGUCCACAAGUUAUCCCUCGAGCUACCGAGCCGAGGAGGGUUCAGCCUUACGGUCACCCUCAUCCGGUACUGCCAGCUCUUGUGCAGCGUCGGCCGGAUCGUGGACGACAAACUCUAUCUCAUCAUCCUCGGGGGUAGUCCCUAAGCUGGUAUUGAGAAUCUGGGUAUGAGACCCUGGCACAAGUAAUUUUCUUUGUAGACUUUCUAACCUUGACCACAAUCCUCUUUUUCUUGGCAUAGGCGGGAGUGUCCGAGGGGUCAGGGGAACUUUUCUUCAUUCUUGAUUUCUCUUCCUUCUUCGCAGCAGCCUCGACAGUAGGUAGUACCGAAGCAUAAGGUUUUGUAGAUGGGACGAGGCCGUAACUUCGGUAAUCGCCUGAAUCUCGAUAGUCUUGGGAAAAGCUUUGAAAAGAAAAAAAGGGACUUAGACGAAAUGAUGAUAAACUAAAAAGGAAACUCAAUCAGGAAAAGAAGGGCAUUCACUCUGGGAACGAGCUUCCCAUUUGCCUUUAAAAAGUUUACGCCACUCGCGCUCGGAGUAUGUCAAUUCUUUGCAGAUUCCCUCGACCCACUCCUUGAAACGGGGGAAUACAUUGGCGACUCGGGCGACCGCUGUAAAUUAGGAAAGGCGGGUAAUAAGAAAGAAGGACAAAUUCAAAAGAUUAUUUUGACGAUUUAAGAGAAAAUGAACUUUCGUGUUGAGUUCCACUUCUUAGGGAACGACAGGAACUCAAAGGAAAUGUGAUCUUUGGUCUUUACCCGAACAAAUCUCCCAUGCCAGCCUCGGUCCAUAUCCUCAUUGAUGCUCGAGAAGGGAGCCUUCUUUGCCCGUCAGAAAAGCUUGAUUAACCCCCCUGAGAAGAUUCUGGGGCUGUAGACAUGAAGUAUAUGGUCGAUCGUGAACUGGGGCUCCUAUGUGUUGUUGGAAAAAUGACAGAAGAGGGUUAUGAUCCUCCAAAAGGAUGGGUGGAUCUACCCGAGGCAAACCUCGUACCUCUUACAGAAGACGAAGACAACCGUGUCCAUCGGGCCAAGCGUGAAAGGGUACGUAUAAACGCUUAAGUACCCCUCCACGUGCAUUGUGAUGUCCUCAUCGAGAUUAAGGAUGAUUACUUUCUUGACUUCCCACUUGUAGUCCUCUCGGACCGUUGAGAGCGUGUCUUCGGUAAUGAAGCAGAUAUACCUUCACACCUCCUCAUCCCGAUAUCCUUGUUUGGAGGCUUUUUCGACCUUAAAGUCAUUAUCUAUGGAGCAGCCUCCGGGGAUAAAAUCUUUAAGAGGAGAUUCUGGGCUACUACCUGAAGGGGCGCUUCGGUAUCUGCAGCCGGGGUAGAGGUUGAAGGACCAGUAUUUUAAGGCACCGAUUUUGAGGUUUUUGCCAUCUUUAUCUGGGAAUAUGAAGGUUUGGAGGCUGAUAUGCAGGUUUGAAGAUGGGUAUGUAGAUUUGAAGGUCUAGCUUGAAGAUUUGAAGGCAAAAUAUGAAGAUUAAAGAAAUGAAGUUGUGAAGAACAAUUUGUGAAGAUUUGAGGGAAUAUCGAAUAAGUAAAAAUAAUUCGAGGGUAACUUGAGAAGGUUCGAAAUCGGAAUGUAAAAAGGUGAAAAAUGGGAAAUUAGAGCGUUUAUAGGAGGGAGACAGUGAAUGCAUGACGUUUCACAUUCGAUACCCACCGAGUAUGGUCAACCGACGGUUGACACAUGUAUAAAGGUAGAACGACGUGAUUGAUGGGACGCUUCGCUGACUUGUUAACUCGCUUGCGACGAAUGGAGAAAGGAACCGGGGGUCAGUUAGUUACUUCUCGUCGUUCUUAUAAAUCUGCUCUCCGAAAAAUGAGGGGACUAUCAGUGUACGGGUAAAAUCGGGAAUAGAGUUGCCUCUGAUUUCCUGGUGAAGAAAUGAGAGAACAACGUGAUCCAAUAUGACCUCGAGUAAAGCCGAGGGAUGCCACAAACCAGAGCUUGGGGAGGAUGAAUGAUGCGCCAAAUAUCGGACAAGGCCGAAUAUGGGAAGAAUCGAGUUUGAGCAAAAUAAAAGACCGAGACUAGAGGAAAGACUGCUGGAAAGGACAAACGAGGGACCGAAAUAUCCGCCCUUAACUGGAUAUUACGGAGCAAAUCUCGUCCGGUAUCAACAACCUUUCACGGUUUACCAAAUUAUUUUUUUACUUUAUUUAAACUUGUACUCGGAUUAAAAUUCCCUUACUAUAUAAAAGGGAGAACCUUUUUAUUUUAAGCACCAUUGUUGACACACAUAUCAAAGAAAUGAAGUCAAUUUUUGUUCUCUAGUUCCUGUUCAAAGAGUUCUUCAACUCCUUAUUUAUUCAAUUGCAACUGAGCCCGUUUCGAGGGCUUAAUCGGGACCAACUUGCGGUGUUCAUCGUAAAGCUAGGCUUAAUCACCCAUCACAUUUAGUUUGAUCGUUUUAUUUUCCUUCAAUUCAAUUAUUUGUUGUUCUUAGAUUGUUCGUGUUAAAUAAAUUACGUAUCUUUUAAACCACGUAUAAAUUCAAUUGUUAUUCAUUUUAAGGGUAAAAAUAUGAGAAGCAAUGCACUCUCUUCAAUUUCCACACCCAAAAAGUUUUCAUUGAGAAAUAUAUCAUUUAUUUGACAAUUGUCAUACCCUUUUUUGGAUAAUUAUUUUUUUUAUUACCAAUGGAGAACUUUGUACAUCAUAGAAAGAAACUAUGCCCCUGUUUGGCCAUAGAUUUUAGCUGUUUGUUUUAAUUUUUUUUUGAAAACACUGUUUAUACAAUAUGAUCAGAUUUUGAAAAAAAUAUGAAUUUUUUCUUAAAGUUUCCAAAAACUGCCCUAAACUAGUUUUUGGGUGGAUAUUUUUAUUCUACUCACAAACUUCAACUUUUAUUCAAAUAAAAUGCAUGUCUAAAUACAACUUUACCUUCCAAAAAUUAUUUUUCAAAACAACUUUCAAAACUCUUUUCUUAAGUUUCAAUCAAAUCUAUGUCCAAACACUACUAACAGAUCUAGUAUAGUGGAUGAGACUGCUCUUCCCUUAACCAGAGGUCUCGGGUUCUAGCCCUGGGUAUAAGAAAAAAUCCUUGGUAGGGAGUGCUUCCUCCCGAAUAGGGCCCUAUGCGGUGCAAAUCUGUAUAUAGUCGGGUUCCAAUGCGGGUACCGGAUACCAGGUGGGAAACCAAAAAAAUAUGUCCAAACGAUAGCUAAAAUGGGACAGCAACCCCAAUUUGAGUUGCAACUAAGCUAACUACUACACUUCCACUACCAACUAGUAUCUUGACCUAAACUACUAAUCUAAGCUACUGGGACCUAACUGCAUAACCUUACAACAAAACAAAUUUUGUUGUUUAUCCACAUAGUUAUCAUAGCCACUAACAAACUCCAAGGUCAUUCAGAGAAUUAAUUACCAAUCCAGGUAGGAACCCUUCCACUAAACUACAACUGAAGAAUGCUCGUACAAAUUAGUAUAUAAGACUAGACAAUCAAUAAUAUGCAAAAAGAUGGGGUUUCAGUCACUUCUCUCUAAGCAAAGAAUGAAAUGGCUCCUGUUGUUUCUCUGAGAGCAUAGAAUAAGAAAACUGACAGCUUUGGUAAUACAUUUGAAAUCAAAAAACUUGCGAGCAAUAGAUAACUAAUAAGAACAAGAGGUAGUAACAUGAUAACUUAAAAAAGAAAAAGUGUCUCGAUCAUACAUAAGAAAAUGCUAAGUUAGUGAUUUUGGAGAUAUCAAGCUUUCAGUAAAAGCGAAUUCAUUCUAAACGGCACCUGGAGGCUGUAAUACAAAUGGUCCUUUGGUUGUCCUAAAUGCAUUCCAACCAACUUGAAAAUGAAAGCACCAAAAUAGCACUUCACCAUCCGCAAACCUAUAUCUCGGUACAGCUAUAUAAACCCUGGGAUCUACUAUAGUAAACAAUGCACUCCAAGACUCCUUGACACCAUAAACUUUUAUUACCCAUUACUUAAAAGUGCCCAUCUCCUCAUUAGUAGAAUAAGAACAAGGCAUUUCGUCCAAUACUGAAACGCCAAUGAAGUCGCUCAUCAAGCAUAUUUGCACUGGCAAUGGUAUCUCUGCAUAAACUUCAUUUGAAAUACUAAAUGAAACCACAACAAAAGUUUUUGAAAAAUCGAUCCAAUGAAAUGCCCCUUGAAUAAAUGCCAAAGAAAGUGUUGGCCCAAGUGAAAUUUGUUUUGAUGAUUGACAAAGAAACUCAAGCAUGAACUAGGUCCAUACAUAGUGUACACAGUCACAGGAAGAAUUCAAGCAUAAGGGAUGCACGUGAAGGAGAUAAGCACAAUUGGUGAUAUAUGAUAUCUCCUGAUCGAAAAGAUUGCAUAAGUGAUAAGGAGAAGGAAUCCUUACUCGAGAAAACUCUAUUCUAGAUAAGGGAGGAGUUAGAAGUUGAAGAUAAUUAGAACUCUUCCACCAUGGAAGAGUUUAUCAUUAGAACUCUAGUUAUUUCUUAUUCUACUAACUCUAUAAAUUGCAGAAUAUUCUCAUUGUACAGGUACGCACAAAUGCUAAAGUUAAACGUGAGUUCAGAGCAAAAUAGCAAGGCAUUUUGCAAGCAAUUCUUGUGUGAUUCAAGUGUGUGAACCUGAAGCUACAUGAACCAGAUAGAAGAAUCAGUUCCAAGUGUUUGUCUUUUAUUCUAGUUCAAUUGUAGUAGGGUUUUUUAAAUUGUACCUUUUAGCUUUAUCUAGAGGCAAUUGUAUUAAGUACUCUGAGUAUUCAAGUUAGAGUUAACUUGUAGUUGUCGCAACAAUUAGAGGUUGGUUUCCACAAUAAGAGUAGAGGUAAUCCUUAGGUUUACAAAGAGUUAUGUAAAUGUUGUUUUAGCUCAGUGAUUUAGUGAAGUAUUAGAAAAAAUCCUACUGAGUAGUAGGUCGUGGUUUUUUAACCUUUUGAGCCGGGUGUUUUCCACAUAAAAUACUUGUGUUCUUUACUUUUCGCAUAUAAUAUUUCCGCAAUAGUAGUAUAAGAAACACAUAAAAGAACUAGGUCCUUCCAUAAUCAAUGCACGCGAAAAUUGGACGCUACACAAAUCACCCUCUCUUGUGUGGAAUUGAAGUGUAAGACAUCAAUUGGUAUCAGAGCAGGUUCUCCUUGAAGAGGAUUACACCUUAGGAGAAGAUCAACAUGAGUGCACCACCUGAAAACUGAGAAGGGCAAUUCACUGCUAGGCCACCACUCUUUAACAACUAGUACUACUCUUGGUGGAAAAACAGGAUGGGAUAUCACAUCAUAGGAGAGAACUAUGGGCUAUGGGACAUUGUCACCGAUGGUCCACUGACUACCUUGAAGAUAAAUGUUGAAGGAGUAAAGGUGCCAAAGACAAGAGCGGAUUGCACUGCUGAGGACUUGAAGAAAUGGGAGAAGAAUGCUAAAGCCAAGAAAUGGCUUGUUUGUGGACUAGGUCCAGAUGAGUACACCAGAAUCCAAAGUUGUACCACUGCUAAGAAAAUUUGGGACACUAUGCAAGUGGCUCAUGAAGGAACACCUCAGGUGAAGAGAUCUAGAGGAACUCUAUUAUCUUUUCAAUAUGAGAACUUUGCUAUGAAGGCAGAAGAAACCAUUCAAGAGAUGUACACAAGGUUCACUACAUUGACAAAUGAGCUAAAGUCUCUUGGAAGGAUUAUUACUGAAGAAGAUAGAGUCGAGAAGAUACUGACAAAGGUUUUGCCUAUCACUUGGGAGAGCAAAAUCACUGCCAUUCAGGAAUCAAAGAAUAUUGCCACUCUCCCACUGGAGGAAUUAAUUGGAAAUCUUACUGCCUAUAAACUUAGGAGACAAACUAUGAAAAUAGAUGUACCUAAGAAGGUAAGGAUCUUGGUACUCAGAAUCACUGAAGGUUCUAAUCUAGAAGAUGAUGAAAUGACUAUGGUCACCAAGUACUUCAAAAAGUACCUGAGGAGAGGAAAGGGUUCUUCAAGAAGUGGAAGAUAUAGCAAGUCAAAAGCUCCUAAGAAGCAAACCAAUGAUGGCUGCCACAAGUUUGGAAAGACUGAUCACCACAUCAAGAAAUGUCCUUUAUGGGAAAUUGAAUGGAAGAAGGAAAGAGCUGAACGAAGGAACAAGAAAAAUGAACAGGUUCAGCCCAAGAAAAGUAAUAACAAAAGAUCAACCAAGGCUAUGGCUGUUGCUUGGGGAGAAAGCUCAGAUGAUGAUGAUGAGGAUGAAUAAGAACUUAUGGCCAUUGGAGAAUCUAAUGAAGAAACCAAGGUAACUGUAAUUCAUCUCAAAGAUAAGAUUAAAUUGUUGUCAAAAGAAAGGUUAUAUGAGUUACUUAUAGAACUAAUUGAUGAAUCCGAGGAUGUAAACAAUGAAAAGGAACAAUUGUCUAAAGAAUGUGUGAUUUUGAAGGCUAAGUGCAAAAAUCUGGAACUUAGGGUUAGUGAAACUGUAAGUGAAAUACUAUGUUGAAGAACCAGGUUCAUGCACUCGACUCAAAUGUCCUAGAGCUUAGAUCUGAAAAUCUAAAACUGAAAUUAGGAAGAGGUAAAAAGAUAGUUGAUCACACAAAACUCACUCUAGAAGAAAAUGUAGGAAAAAUAAAAGAUGAGUUGUACAAAAGGAAUGAGCAGGUAAGAAUUCUAAAGAAGGAUCUAAGAAAGGUCAAGCAUGAGCUAGACAAAACAUGUAAAUGGAGCAGGUCCUCCGAUGCACUUUUAUGGCUACAAAAACACCAUAGUAGCAAUAGAAUAAGACUUGACUUUGGGUACCUGGCACCUAGGUGGGAUCCCAAAAGAAAGUACCUCACACUUCUUAAGAACAAGAUUUGCACACACUGUGGUAAAACAGGUCACUAUAAAAGUGANUNNNNNNNNNNNNNNNNNNNNNNNNNNNNNNNNNNNNNNNNNNNNNNNNNNNNNNNNNNNNNNNNNNNNNNNNNNNNNNNNNNNNNNNNNNNNNNNNNNNNNNNNNNNNNNNNNNNNNNNNNNNNNNNNNNNNNNNNNNNNNNNNNNNNNNNNNNNNNNNNNNNNNNNNNNNNNNNNNNNNNNNNNNNNNNNNNNNNNNNNNNNNNNNNNNNNNNNNNNNNNNNNNNNNNNNNNNNNNNNNNNNNNNNNNNNNNNNNNNNNNNNNNNNNNNNNNNNNNNNNNNNNNNNNNNNNNNNNNNNNNNNNNNNNNNNNNNNNNNNNNNNNNNNNNNNNNNNNNNNNNNNNNNNNNNNNNNNNNNNNNNNNNNNNNNNNNNNNNNNNNNNNNNNNNNNNNNNNNNNNNNNNNNNNNNNNNNNNNNNNNNNNNNNNNNNNNNNNNNNNNNNNNNNNNNNNNNNNNNNNNNNNNNNNNNNNNNNNNNNNNNNNNNNNNNNNNNNNNNNNNNNNNNNNNNNNNNNNNNNNNNNNNNNNNNNNNNNNNNNNNNNNNNNNNNNNNNNNNNNNNNNNNNNNNNNNNNNNNNNNNNNNNNNNNNNNNNNNNNNNNNNNNNNNNNNNNNNNNNNNNNNNNNNNNNNNNNNNNNNNNNNNNNNNNNNNNNNNNNNNNNNNNNNNNNNNNNNNNNNNNNNNNNNNNNNNNNNNNNNNNNNNNNNNNNNNNNNNNNNNNNNNNNNNNNNNNNNNNNNNNNNNNNNNNNNNNNNNNNNNNNNNNNNNNNNNNNNNNNNNNNNNNNNNNNNNNNNNNNNNAAUAUUAGGACAUUGGAAGAAAUGGCUAGGACUAUGCUUCUUUCUAGUAAACUGCCCCAUAGUUUUUGGGUAGAAGCAGUGAACACUGCAUGCUACAUCAUAAAUAGGUACAUGACUAGACCUCAUGUUGAGAAGACUCCCUAUGAGUUACUUAAAGAGAGAAAGCCAAAUAUAUCCUAUCUUAGUGCAUUUGGAUGCAAGUGCUUUGUGCAUAAUAAUGGUAAAGACUCCCUAGGUAAGUUUGAUCCCAGAAGUGAUGAGGGAGUAUUUUUGGGAUAUACUUCACAUAGUUAAGCUUAUAAGAUUUAUAACAAAAGAACUAUGUGCGUAGAAGAAAGUGUACAUGUGGUUUUUGAUGAAACUAACAUUCUUUCUGAGAGGCAAGAACAUGAAGAUGAAGCAAUUGGGCUGGUAAGAAACUCAAAUGAAACCAUAGCCCAAACUGAAGCUGCACCAGAGGAAGGAACAUGUGAUGGAACAGGUCCUUCCACCUAGGACAACUUGACAGGGGGAACUGAACAAAGAGGAACUGAUCCUCAAACCUCGAGGGAACCUGUCCAUGAACAUAUUCCUCAGCAACAAAACAUUGAAGGAAUAUCUAGGGGAAACCAGCUGGUUGUGAAACCUUACAAGUAUCAAAGUUUUCAUCCCAUUGAGAACAUAAUUAUUGACCCAACCUCUGGAAUCAAAACCAGAUCUUCUUUGAAGAAUCUUUGUGCUUUUGAUGCUUUUUUAUCUCUUAUUGAACCAAAAAAUAUUACUGAGGAUUUGCAGAAUGCAGACUAGGUGAAUGCAAUGCAAGAUGAACUCAACCAAUUUGAGAAAAAUUAAGUUUGACAUCUGGUACCAAAACCUAAGGAUAGAUCAGUAAUUGGCACAAAAUGGGUCUUCAGAAAUAAACUUGACGAAGAUGGAAUAGUUACAAGGAACAAGGCAAGAUUAGUGGUUCAAGGGUAUAGUCAAGAGGAGGGCAAAGACUAUGAUGAGACUUUUGCUCCAAUUGCAAGAUUGGAGGCAAUUAGACUCCUUAUAGCCUUUGAUGCUUAUAAGGAAUUCACUCUCCAUCAGAUGGAUGUUAAGAGUGCCUUCCUCAAUGGCUAACUAAAGGAAGAAGUGUUUGUCAAGCAACCUCCGGGCUUUGAAAGCAAGGAAUGUCCUGAUCAUAUGUACAAGCUUGACAAGGCACUUUAUAGGCUCAAGCAGGCUCCAAGAGCAUGGUAUGAAAGAUUCUCAAAAUUCUUGCUUGAGCAUGGCUACAAGAGAGGUAAAAUUGACAAUACUUUAUUCUUGAAGGAAAAAGGUAAAGACCUCUUGGUAGUUCAGAUUUAUGUCGAUGAUAUAAUUUUUGGAGCAACUACUGAUAAGUUAAGUAAAGAAUUUACUAAACUAAUGGGGAGUGAAUUUGAAAUGAGUAAGAUGGGUGAGAUUAAUUUCUUUUUAGGAUUACAAUUAAACAAAAUUCAAAUGGAACUAUGAUCCAUUAGCAAAAGUAUGUGAAAGAAUUGCUUAAAAGGUUUAAAAUGGAAGAUUCCAAAGAAAUUGACACUCAUAUAGCAACAACCACAAAAUUGGAUGUAGAUGAACCUGAUUCAUCUGUUGAUCAGAAAUUGUAUAGGGGAAUAAUUGGCUCUUUGUUAUAUCUCACUGCUAGCAGACCUGAUAUUGUUUUCAGUGUAGGCCUUUGUGCUAGAUUUCAGGCAAAUCCAAAGGAGUCUCACUUGAUUGUUAUCAAGAGGAUCUUGAGAUACCUAAAAGGCACCACUGACCUUUGUCUAUGGUAUCCAAAAAGUAGUAAUUUCAACUUAGUGGGAUAUGCAGAUGCUGAUUAUGCAGAUUUUCUUGUGGAUAGAAAGAGCACCUUAGGUAUGGCACACUUUCUUGGCUCAUGUCUUGUGUCUUGGGCCAUCAAAAAGGAAAAUUUGGUGGCCUUAUCUACUGCUGAAGCUGAGUAUGUUGUUGCUGCCUAAUGUUGUGCUCAAAUAUUGUGGAUCAAACAACAAUUAAUGGACUUUGGAAUUGAUAUAGUUUGUAUCCCUAUCUUUUAUGAUAACACUAGUCCAAUUAGUAUGACCAAGAACCUGGUUCAUCACAAGAGAACUAAGCACAUAGAUGUUAGGCAUCAUUUUUUGAGGGACAACUAUGAGAAGGGUUUGAUCACUGUGGAAUUUUCUGCUACUAACAAGCAAAUAGCUGACAUCUUCACAAAAGCUCUAAGUAGAGAUCACUUUGAAAGGAACAUGUUAGAAUUAAGGAUGAUUAAAAUCUCCUAAAAGGAACCAGUUCUAACUCAAAAAUUGGUUAGAAAAUUUGUGAAUUUUUAUACAUAAUUAAAUUAGAUUUUGCUCAGUCUCAUACUUUCAUCAAUACACUUUUGUGCCAUGUGCUAAAAUGACUCAUUAAUCUCUAAUGAUAUUAUCUCUAUUUUCUUGGAAAAUUCAUACUUACACAAGAAAUUUCUCAGUGAAGAACCUGGUUCAUCAAGAUUACUUGGUACGUACUCUCCACUCUAUAUAUUUUGGAAUAAUUAUAUUUGGAUUAUGAUCAAGAGGAGAGUCCCAUUUAAUCCUAACCUCCUUGAGCUUAUCCGUUACAAAAUGAACCGGUUUCAUUUAAAAGAGUCCCAAAAACACAAUAAGUGCCUAGAUUCUAGGGAGAAUCAUAAACGUCUCUUCAAACUGCUUCCUACUUUGAUUAGAUCUCUGAACUUCUGAAAAACGUAGUUGUUAUCCAAUUAAACUCUUCCUCUUUAAAUUGAUUAGGCCUUAGUUUUUUCUUCACUUCUUAAUUUCCAAGGUGUCAAAAAUUCUCUCUAUCUCCUCUCAUCUUCCAAACAUACACAAACUCAUCUUCUCUCAUACCCAAACAUAGAAAUGGCAAACCUCUCUGAGAAUCCCUCAUCAUUACCUAAGAAAACUACACCCACACCAUCUAUCACACCUUCAACCACACCCACCUUUAAGAAAGGAAGGUUCAAGAUGAUGGCUCGCAAGGUUGUCGCUGGAGGAGAUCAAAUCAAGAAAAUUAAUGAACAAUUAAAAGCGAGCCGGGAAGAAGAACCCCAGAAAUCUGAUGAAUCAUUCAAGUCUGCUACUGAGGGGGAAGAAACUAUUUUUUUCUGAAACAUAGCAGGUAACAUCUGGUCCUAAAGUUAUAUCUAAACUAAUCUCUAAGGUUACUGCAAAUCUGGAAACUAGAUUUAUACUGGUAGGAACUGUGGUUGGGGUAGAGACUGUUAAGUCUGAGAAGAUUGGUGGUAAAAGUAAAAAGAGAAAAGAAAAGGAGAGUGAGGGUGCUCAAGGUGAUGUGAGGGGAAUGGGACAAGGAGUGGCUGAAUCUUCACCCACUCAUGUUGGUUUGACUGAAGAAACAUGAGCUAUGGAAGUAUGGAGUGAGGAAUCGGCUGGAAAAGAAGAUAGUGUGAGCGAAAAAAGGGGAAGUAAGUCCGGAGAAGCUGCUGAGGGGUUGGUUAGAUUGGGGAAGAAGGUUCAAGAACCUGUUCCAUCUGUGUAGAAAUCUCUCGAGGACCUACUAAGAAAAGUAUCUGAUAGUUAUAAUCCUAAAAGAAAAAGGGGAUCAGAAGUUAAAGUUCUUGGUACUGCUAGGGCAAACAAGAAGAGAAAGGCUGCCUCUUCUAUCCAUGUAGAGACUCUUCCUACAAGAGGAAGAACUACAAGGAGUCAGAAGAUAGCAGAGUGAGGCUGAACUGGUAAAGGCCCUAGAAGAAAGUAAGAGAAAAGUUGCUGCUAAGGGAAAAAAGAAGGUGGUUGAGCCUGUUGAGGCAGUUGAAAUUGAGGAGAUGGACCUGGUUCUUCGUGAUGAAGAGGAGGCAGAAGAAAUGGAGGUUGUAACUCCAAAGGCAAAAAAGAUCAAGACUUUCACAAAGAAGUCUGUUUCAAAGACAAAAUCUGCAGGGCCCUCUACCUUGGCUAAAAGAACCAGGUCUGCCUUGAAGUCCAGAAAAGUGAAAGUAGUGGAAGAAGAAGAAUGGAGUGGAUAAGAAGAAGAAGAAUCUGAUGCACAGAAGGACAAGAUGGUUAAGUUUGGGAAAAGAACCAUAUUGAAAGGUAGACUCCUCAGGAACCUGGAUGAGGAAGGCAUGGUAAUGCUGCUGGAAAUGCUACAACUACAGGGUUGGAAGGACAUGGUCCUUCAGAUGGAUGGAAAGCUUGCCAAAACUGAGAUUGUAGAGUUCAAAUUGUGAGAUAAAAAAUGGUAGAGUCACCAGUGUGGUGAAGGGGAUGACAAUGAGUUUUGAUGACAAGAAACUCGGAGAGAUCUUAGGUGUACCUGCUGCAGGGUACAAUGAUUACAAGAAACUCAAAUGUCCAAGUCUAGAGAAUCUCCCUAUUGCCCUUUCCAUUAUAAGGAGGUUUGGUGAAAAUGAUGAAGAGCUUGAGCCCAAGGCUAUAUACAAAAGUGAGAUGAAGCCACCCCAUAAAAUGUUGUUCGAAUUUGUUAACAAAGUUGUGUUGCUUAGGCAGGAAAGGAGGCACAUUGCCACAUUUAUAGAACUGGUCCUUAUGGAAUGUCUGGAGAGUGGGAGGAAAAUUAAUUGGCCUAGAUUUAUCAUCCAGUUUCUCGAUAGGGUUCUGGCUGGCACCAAAACUCGUACUUGCAUACUUCAAGGUACCCAUCAAGAAAUGGGAAGUUGGUACAAGCAAGGAUUACUUUAGGGAAAACACUUUGAUUGCUUGUGACUUUUAAGUCCACACCACUCCCAAAGAACCUGGUUCAUUGAAGAAGGUACCUGUGAACAGCAAAUUGCGAGCCUUGGUGCAAUAAAGUGGGGGCAAAGGAUGCUGAAAUUGAAAGGCUGAAGAAGAAGUUGGCAGAAGUAGAAACUGAGAGAGAUGCUCUCAGAGCUGAGCUUGAAAAGGAGAAGGAGAAGAAUGAUGGCAUUCUUCAUGAUAUGCUGAAACUGCUUCAAGCCAAGAAUCAAGAACCUGGUCCUUCCUAGCCUUAAGACCUUCCUAGUCUAGUUAGACAAACCAGUGACCGAGAUGCGAUUUCUUUUUGUUCUUUUUGCUCAUGAUCCAAUAUUUUUAUUUCUCUUUAUGCUUUGUGGAUGACUAGUAUCAAUGAUAAUUAACUGUUUUUGUACUCUAACUAUUUGUUGAUGCUUCUUAGAUGGCUAAUAUCACUAGAUUGAUAAAUGAUGCUUGACUCCAUGAUUGCAUUUGAAGUAGCCCAAGUGGCCAUGAAUAAUUUUUAUUAAAAUCUGGUUAUCUAACAUAAUUAUGCAACUUUUCGAUGAUGACAAAAGGGAAAGAUAUGUGCUUUUUUACUUUGGAUUAUGAUGUUUAUAACCUAAUGAACCUGGUCCUUGAUGAUUAUUGACUUUAAAAUGAAAAGUGUUCUAACUUUGUAUUGAUGUUGAGCUGAGUUGAAACAAGGCUUAUACUUACAAAAAGCACAGAGUUUGUCAUCAUCAAAAAGGGGGAAUGUUUUGGCCCAAGUGAAGUUUGUUUUGAUGAUUGACAAAGGAAAUCAAGCAUGAACCAUGUCCAUACACAGUGUACACAGUCAUGGGCAGAAUUCGAGCAUAAGGGAUGCACGUAAAGGAGAUAAGCUCAAGUUGUUAUAUCUGAUAUCUCCUGAUCAAAAAGGUUGCAUAAGUGAUAAGGAGAAGGACUCUUUACUCGAGAGAACUCUAUUCUAGAUAAGGGAGGAGUUAGAAGUUGAAGAUAAUUAGAAUUUCCAGUAUAACAUUAGAACUCUAGUUAUUUCUUGUUCUACUAACUCUAUAAAUUGUAUAAUGUUCUCAUUGUACAGGUACACACAAACACUGAAGUUAAACCUGAGUUGAGAGAAAAAUAACAAGGCAUUUUGCAAGCAAUUCUUUUGCGAUUCAAGUGUGCGAACCUGAAACUACAUGAACCGGAUAGAAGAACCAGUUACAAGUGUCUUUAUUUUAUUCUAGUUCAAUUGUGGUAGGGUUUUUUAAAUUGUACCUUUCAGCUUUAUCUAGAAGCAAUUGUAUUAGGUACUCUGAGUAUUCAAGUUAGAAUUAACUUGAACUUGUCGUAACAGUUAGAGGUUGGUUGCCACAACGGGAUUACAGGUAAUCCUUAGGUUUACAAAGAGUUUUGUAAAUGCUGUUUUGGCUCACUGAUUUAGUGAAGUGUUGGGAAAAAUCCUACUAAGUAGUAAGUUGUGGUUUUUUCACCUCUUGAGCCGGGUGUUUUCCAUGUAAAAUACUUGUAUUCUUUACUUUUCGCAUUUAUUAUUUUUGCAACAGUAGUAUAAGGAACACAUAGAAGAACCAGGUCCUUCCAUAAUCAGUGCACGUGAAAAUUGGACACCACAAAAAUCACCCUUAUCUUGUGUGGUAUUGAAGUAUAAGACAUCAGAAAGCAUACCGGACAACACAUUGCGAAUGCUAUGAGGAUGUAUAUCAAUAUUUCUCCAUGAACCACUUUUCAGCACAAGAAUUUCACUAGGUAUUGUGCGACCAUCAUUUGUGUUCUAGAUAAUCUUAAGGAUCUCAUAGCCACCACUAGUUGAGUCAUAACCCAAUCCCAAACAAGAAAGUGCCUUAGUCGGAAAUUUAGAUUAGGAAGCACUAUUGAUUGUCGUGUUGAACAAUAUUCUCAUAAACCUUGAUAAUAUCCAAGGCAUCGCCACAACAACAGAUUUUGCAAGACUGUGGUUCAGAGUUUGAAAGGAAAACAAGUUCUUAUACACCCUCAACCCGUUGAACUGACGACAAAGGACAACAAUAGAUGCUAAAGAGAUCAUCCUUGUUGGACAUUUGGAAAAUAAGAAAUUUUUGGGAAUUCGUAUCAUUCUUGGCAUGAUUGAAAUGCUUCAUCGUAAAGUAAGGGUAACAGAUUAAUGUUUCCAAAAUUUUAAAGCAUAUUUGAAUUGAAGAAGAGACAGCAUAAGUAACCUGCUGAGGAUGUCCAUUAGUAUAUUCUCCUAGAAGUGAAUUCCCAUGGCCUGGAUAGGACAAGAAAGUGCUAUCAGACUAUUUCUCUUGAAGUUUUCAUAUCAGACAAAUUCAACCAAGAGCUUAGAAAAGAUGGCAAAAGAGAGAGCAACAGAUGAGAGAGACAUUUUCAACAUGUUCGAUGCCUUGGCUAUGCUUGUAGGGGUCGUUUGAUAUGAUGGAUAAGCAAAAACAAUCCUGAGAUAAAAACUUAGUAUCGUCUUAUCCUUUAUCUGAUUACUAAUCCUUGGAUAAGUUAUUCCAAGAUUAAAAAUAGUAUCAGGAUAACUUAUACUUGUCAGAAGGUGGAAUAGUAAUCCCAGGAUAAAAUAAUAAAAUUGAUAAUCUCAUGAUUAAUACAACAUACCACAUAGUCAAUAAGAAACAAUACAAGGAUUGAAAAUACAAGGGAGAGGGGUGAAUUGUAGCUGAUUUUAAAAACUUAGUUGACUAAGUAUGGAUUUAGUCGACUAGGCUGUAUACAAUAUUUGACUUUAGUAGAGAUAAAUGAGAUGAACAUAAGGUAAAAAGAGACACAAUAAUUUUUAUACUGGUUCAGUACCAAUGUGGUACCUACGUCCAGUUUUCUUGGGUCACAAGGGUUCUCUUUGAGCUUGAUAAAUGUUUACAGUAGUGAUGAUUUGUGAACGUUCACUACCGACGUUGUACAACAACUAUAAUUCUUUGUAGAGUUGACACAACUUUCUUUUUGCAUUCUACUUCUUCCUAUCUUCUGAGAUACUUGUAGACUCAGGAAUACAAUGUUUGUACUAAGGAAUAUAAAUGCUUAGAAACAAAUGUUGUAGUUGCGUGUUUAAUCCUUGAGUUUGCCCAUCCUCUUAUAGGCGAGUUUUGAGAGUUGUUGUAGAUUGGUCUUUGAUUGAGGCCCACAAUAUUUUACUGAUAUUUGACUCAAGAGAGGUGCCUCUGAUUCCUUCAUGAGAGAUGAACUGGAUUCAUUUAAUUGCUCCAUGCCCGAAAUUCAGGGAGUGCACUUGAUUUGUUUCCCUUUCUUUUUUUAAUGGCUUUACAGAAAAAGGGGCAACACUCAAAUUAUCUCCCAUUAUGUUGUGUUUCCCACUCCAUUUUGAAUCUCCUAUUUUACUGUAAGUAUGUCUUCCAUUAUGUCAUUUCACUUUAUUUUUGGAUCUUCUUCGAGUUACUUCAAUUAACAAGACAAAGUGGGUGAGUUAGAUUUGUCUUAUUGUCAUCAUUGAAACUUAAGUGUAAUAAUCUUCCCCUUUUGAUGAUGACAAAACAAACAAAUAAAACAAAGUAAAAACAGAUUGUACUUCCCUUUCAUAGCUUAAGAUGCAUGCUCCCCUGAGUUAUUGCUCUAGUUCUGUUACUCCCCCUGAGUUGUUGCUCUGGUUGCUUUGUUUUACUUGCCUCCUUUCUCCCCCUUUGGCAUCAAUCAAAAAGAAUAGAAAAGAGAUCGAGUGCAGAUAAAAUAAUCAUAAUAUAGGUCACAAGAAAACUGGUUAGGAUAGUAACGUUUAUUCAUUCAGCAGAGGCAUACUGUGAUGGUUCCUACAGACCAGUGCAAACAGAAGUACCAAAUAUACACCCCAAAUACAAGUAGCGAACAAAAGAUUAUUUUUUUAAAACACACACACACAACCUUAGUUUCUCCCCGGGAUGUACUUCAGGGUAUUGAUCAUUUUGGUGCAGAAAAAGUCAUAAAAGGUAUCGAUUUCUUUGGUGAUUUUGUUCAUCUUUUAUGUCAUAGAGUUGAAAGCCCUGAUUCCUUGCCUCCUUGUAGCUCUUAUGUCAAUCCUGAGCUUAGCCACAUAUGUGCCUGUUUCUUUGGUGAUUUCCCUGAUCUUGUCCACUUGUUCUUUCAUGGUGGUGAGCAUGAUUUUUACCUCAUCUAGACUUUGCUGAAUCUAAUGCGGAUUAAUAGUGGCAGUCGACUGAGGCUCUGUUGGUUAAGUGGGUGCUUCAACCUGUACUAAAGAACUUUCAACCUUGGCACAUCUGACCCAUCCAUUUUCACCUAAGGUGUAACCCAUCAUAGUAAAGGCUGUCUUAUCAUAAGUGCUUGUAAUGUGCUUAGGUGAAAAAGGUGCCAAAUCAACCUUCAUGACUUUAAGGAUAUGUGAAAUGAGCAAGCCAUAAGGUAAGCAAGCUGUAGAGGAGGAUAUAUCCCUGAUACUUUCGAGCAUAUAAUGACGAAUCCAUACAAACCAGUCAAGUCUUUUAUUAUUCACAAGACAGUAAAGAACGAAAAUGUCUCUAGUAGUCAAGGUGUUGAGAGACCCAGUCCUAGAAAGUAGAGUAGUGGCUAUCAUAUGGGCUAGAUUACGGUAUUCAAACUUGAGAUUUUUAGGACCAAUGCCAGGAGGGUUUUCAGAGAGAAAAUCUUUCGCUUCUUCUAAAUAAACUUCAAAGUCUUUAGGCCAGGAAUUUUGUACAAAGACAUCAUAACCAUGAAACUUUGCAGAAAAAAUCUUUUCAAAUUGAUAGGGAUCAAGAACAAUCUGAGUACCUAACACCAUUGAUUCUAAAUCAUCUUUGUCAUUCACAAACAGAUUUGCGUAAAACUUCCUCACAGGCUCUUCAUAUACAGAGGUUCCAAUAUUAUCAAACAUAGAGGAGAGACAUUGAAAAUCAAAGAUAGCAAUUACAUCACAGUGUAAACUUUUCAUAAGAGGAAGACUUACAGAGCGUCCAUAGGCCAUAGAUUUAGACUUAUAAGACUCAAACCUUGAUUUUUCACUUGGUCCAUAUAAGAUUAGUUUAUCCGCUGGCCCAAAAUCUGAGUUUUUCACUUUCACAUUCUUGCAUGCAGGUCCUUUGGGGGUUUUCUACAUUGAUCUUUUUCCUGCCCUUUUUUGACUAAUAGAAAGUUCCUCCGAUGAUUCACUGCUUUCAUUAUCAGCUUUGAGAAGGCUGAAUUAAGAGAUGAUUCAAGGUCAACAGUUUCUUCAGCAUUUUGGAUUUUCUUAAAUCGUCUGUUUCGUCUUGUGGCAGUGGAUGAGAGAUUUCUUUUCGCCAUGGUAUAAAAAUUUUGUGCGAAGUGAUGAAAAAUGAGAGAUAAAAAGGGUAUUUAUCUAAGAUUGAAGAGGUUCAUCGGUUAGAGGAAAAGGUAAUUUGGAUGAAAAUGAUUAUUCUGGGGAGUUGCUUCGGCGACACAAUGUAAUAAUAACACUUACAUUUAUUAAUUAAGAAGACAAAAAAAUAUUUUAUAAUGAUUUCUUUACAAAAUAGAUAUAAUACCAAUCUUUUUAUGCAGUAGACAAAAUCUUUCUUCCAAAAGAGGUUUUGUAAAAUAUCAGCAAGUUGCGAUACAGUACCAAUGAAUUCAAAUAAAAUAUCACCUUUUGCAACAUGAUCACGAAUAAAAUGAUGUUUAAUUUCAAUGUGGUUUGCCCUAGAAUGAUGCACAGAAUUUUUUGAAAGACACAUAACACUUGUAUUAUCAUAGAAUAUAGGAGGAGAGGUAAGAGAUAAAUCAUAGUCGAGAAGCUGAUGCAUGAUCCAAAAGAUUUGUGUACAACAACUCCCUACAACUAAAUAUUCUACUUCAGUAGUUGACAGAGCAACACAAUUUUGUUUCUUUCUAUGCCAGGAAAUUAGAGUAUUUCCCAGCAAUUGGCAUGUGCCACUAGUACUUUUCCUGUCAAUCCUAUCACCUGCAAAAUCUGCAUCUGAAAAACUUUUUAAGGAGAAAUUGUUAGAAUGAGCAUACAAUAGUCCUAAUUCAGUGGUCCCAAUGAGAUAUCUAAUAAUACGUUUAACUGUAGUAAGAUGAGAUUCCUUUGGAGCCGACUGAAAUCUUGCACACUUACAUACACUGAACAUUAUGUCUGAUCGACUAGCAAUGAGAUAUAAUAGUGAUCCAAUCAUUCCUCUAUACAUCGUUUCAUCCACACUUUUUUCAUGUUUGUCUUCUUCAAGAAAAGUUGUUGGGCUCAUUGGAGUUCCAAUAGACUUUGCAUUUUCCAUGCCAAACAUUUUUAUGAGUUCCUUGGUACAUUUGGUUUGGCUAAUGAAAAUCCCUUUCGAAAAUUGUUGAUUUGUAAUCCAAGAAAGAAUAUUAGUUCUCCCAUCAUUCUCAGUCUUAAUUCUCCUUUAAUAAUAUGAGAGAAUUCUUUAUAUAAUACAGGGUCAGGACUCCCGAAGAAGAUAUCGUCAACAUAAAUUUGAGUAAUAAGAUUACCUGAAUUUGAGUGCUUAAUAAAUAAAGUUAUGUCGAUAUUACCUCUUUUAAAGCCUUGAUUUAGAAGGAAUGAGCUUAGUCUUCCAUAUCAGGCACUAGGAGCUUGCUUGAGUUUGUAUAGAGCUUUAGACAGCUUGAAUGCAUGGUUUGGGAAGCUGGAACUUACAAAAACCAGGAGGUUGUUUCACAUAUACUUCUUCAGAGAUAUAUCCAUUUAAGAACACACUUUUUACAUACAUUUGAAAUAGCUUGAAUCCUUUAUGAGUAGCAAAAGAAAGUAGUAUUCUAAAGGAUUCUAAUCUUGCUAUAGGUGUAAAAGUUUCAUCGUAGUCGAUUUCUUCUUGCUGAGAGUAACCUUGAGCAACUAGCCUUGCCUUAUUACGAACCACUUGCCCGGACUCAUUUAGUUUAUUUCUGAAGACCCAUUAGUUCCUAUAGUGGAGUCGUUUGAUGGCUUUGGAACAAAAUCCCACACUUUAUUUCUUUCAAAUUAAUCGAGUUCAUCCUUCAUAGCUUUGACCCAGUAAACGUCUUUAAGGGCCUCGUUAACCUUUUUUGGCUCAAGUUGCGAUAUUAAGGACAUGUGAGAGUUGAUCUUCUGAGAUCUUCUAGUAGUGAUACCUUCUUGUGGAUUUCCAAUGAUGAACUUGUAAGGAUAUCCAGGUUCACUUUUCCAUUCAUUUGGAAUAUUUGUGAUCGCCUGUUCAACAGAAGAUGGUUCCUGGAAAUCAAUGUGUUCUUCAGUUGAUUGAUUUUGCUGCUCAGUCGACUGAUAUUGACUGUCUUUUCCUGCAACAACAGACUUUGGAACAAUAGAUAUUUCCUCAUCUUUAGGAAGUUUUACAUUCCUUAAGUGAGUGUUAGUAUCUACAAAAACAACAUGAAUGGAUUCCUCAAUGUAUAGGGUUCUUUUAUUAAAGACUAUAUAUGCUCUAAUUGAAGGAGAAUAACCAAGAAAGAUACCUUUGUCACUUUUUGGAUCAAAUUUACCCAAGUUAUCUUUACCAUUAUUGUGAAUGAAAUAGUUACAUCCAAAUGGGUGGAAGUAACUGAUGUUGGGUUUCUUACCAUUCCACAGUUCAUAUGGAGUUUUUUGGAGAAGGGGUCGAAUCAGACAUCUAUUGAUAAUAUGACAUGCAGUACUUACAACUUCUGCCCAGAAGUGGUGAGACAGAGAAUUUUUCACAAUCAUGGUUCUUGCCAUAUCUUGUAAAGUUCUGUUCUUACAUUCUACCACUCUAUUCUGUUAAGGUGAUCUUGGCGAAGAGAAGUUGUGAGAUAUUUCUUGAUCAUUACAAAAGUUUUCAAAGGCUCUGCUUUCGAACUCUCCUCCAUGGUCACUUCUGAUAGUAGAAAAGUAAUAUCCUUUUUCACGCUAUAUCUUCUUACAAAAAACUUCAAAAUUCUUUAGAGCGUCAUCUUUAUGACUCAGAAACAUAACCCAACUGAAACGAGAGAAAUCAUCUACGAUAACAAAGGUAUAUUUUCUACCACUAAUGCUGGCAGUUCUAGUUGGACCAAAUAGAUCCAUAUGCAGGAGUUGAAGGGGUUUAGUAGUAGAUACAAUGUUUUUGCUUUUAAAGGAUGAACGAGUUUGUUUUCCUAAUUGACAUGCAUCACAAAUAUGAUCUUUUAAAAAAUCUAGUUUUGGAAGAUCAAUGACAAGAUCGAGGUUAGAGAUUUUUUGAAUAGUAUGCAUGCUAGCAUGGCCAAACUUUCUGUGCCAAACCCAAGGAUCAUCAAUUAUAGAAGCUAGACAAAUUUGAUUACUAAGACUGUCUAUGUUGCUUAUAGUAUAGAUAUUUUUGUCUCUAUUUCCAGAAAAAAUAACUUUACCUGAUUCGUCUUCAAUAAGCCAACAAGAUUUUUUAAAACGAACCUCAUAGUCAUUGUCGCAUAGUUGAUUGAUACUAAGAAGAUUGUAACCAAGUUCAUCAACUAGGUAUACUUCGUCUACAUCACAUGUUGAGCUAAGAGGGACUCUUCCAACUCCAAUUACAUUCCCUUUUGAUUUGUCUCCAAAUGUGACAGUUCCUCCAUCUAAUUUGGUGACUGUUUUGAAUAUUUGUUUGUCACGAGUCAUAUGUCUGGAACAUGCGCUAUCAAGAUACCAUUUUCCUUUUCUAUUCCGCUUGCGCUGUUCCUACAAUAAGAAGUUACUUAUUUUUAGGUACCCAAGCUUGCUUGGGUCCUGAAUGGUUAGUAUUCUGAGUGUUAGCUUGAUUUGAGGUCUUGGGUCGCCAGACCCAUUUCUUGUUGUUCUUAAGCCUGCAAUGGUUAGCUAAAUGACCAAAUUUUCCAUAGUAAAAGCAUGGGGGGUUAUUAGAAUUUUCAUAGCCUUUCUCUGCUUUCAUUCUAAACCUGGAAUGAUUUAAUUUGUGCCCAUUUUUAACAUAGUGAAUACAUGAGGAAGGAUUUCUAGUUGGAAAUUUAUGAGGAACAGAUUUAUUUGAUUUAACAGAACUAUGACUGGUGGAUUUUCGUAAUCCACUUAAUUGAAGUUGAAGUUCGUUAACUUUCUCUUGAAGCAUAUACUUCUAAUUUCAACUCCCAAUCUUUCUUUUCUCUUUGGAUUUUUCGAAGUUCAUUUAGAACUUUCUCAAUAUCUGUAAGAGCAAUAUAGAUAAAUUCUUGAAGUUUAUGACAAUUUGGACAUGUAGGAAGACGUACCUCACUUAUACCUUCGUCAACCUUGAGAGCAAGUUCACCUGAGUCUUCAUCGUUAUCAUCAUUAAUGUCCAUGAAGCAUAUGUUGGCAAUUUCUUCUUAAUCAGGUUCUUCUUCAUCACUCCAAGCUCCAAAAGAUUUCUUCUUUUCAAAGUUCCUACUAAGUUUCUUUUUCAGUUCGGGACAUUCUGCUUGGAUGUGUCCAUGUUUCCCACACUCAUAGCAUCUUUCAUCAUUUUUGUCGUUAUCAUUGUUCAUCUUCUCUUUUCUGAAGUUUGAAUAGCCUCUUCUGUUGUAUCUGUUCCUCUUCAUCAUGUCUAUUAGCACUUUGGAAAGCAUAGCUAUGUUCAUAUCUUCUUCUUCUUCAGCCACAGUUGCUUUGAAUGCGACUGUCUUCCUUUUUUCUUGUUGAACUUGCCUGUCUAAAUGUAUUUUUUCAAACGCAAUUAGAUCACCUCUUAGUUCAUCAUAUGCCAUUUUGUCAAGAUCCUGACAUUCCAAGGCAAUGACUUUGGGUUACCAAAUCGUGGGAAGACUUCUCAUAAUUUUUCUGACCUGUUCCUUACUUUUGAUUGGUCUACCAAAUAAUUUUAGGUCUCCAAUGAUUUUGCUGAACCUGAAAAAUAUUUCUUCUACUGAUUCUCCAUCUUUCAUAUGAAAUAGUUCAUAAUCUCGAACUAGAAGAUUGAUUCUUGUUUCUUUCACUUUAUUGGUUCCUUCAUAUGUGACUUCUAAUUUAUCCCACAUUUUCUCUGCAGUUUCACAACUUGAUAUCUUUUCAUAUUCUUCUCCAUUGAUAGCAUUAUACAAAAGGUUUUUUUCUUUGGCAUUAACUAUUAUGACAACUGAUUGUUCUUCAGUGUAAUCAUCUAAAUCAAGAGGAUCACAUGAAACUAUAACUUGACCAUUUUCAUCUUUCUUUGGUGGAAUUGGAAAAUUUCCCUUUUUGAUCACGCGCCAAACUUUAAUGUCAUAUGACAUAGUGUAAGUCUCCAUGCGUACUUUCCAGUGAGAAAAGUGUUGACCAUUGAAGUAUGGGGGUCAUACUUGAGAGGUUCCUUCUUGGAAUAGCGCUCCAACUACUGUGCUUGAUCCCAUGAUCUUUUCCUCACUUGCUGUUAAGCAAAGUUCGUGAGUUAAGCUCCGAUACCAAUUAAAUACAGGGGGGGGGGAUGAAUUGUAGCUGAUUUUAAAAACUUAGUUGACUAAGUGUGGAUUUAGUCGACUAGGCUGUAUACAGUAUUUGACUUUAGUAGAGAUAAAUGAGAUGAAGAUAAGGUAAAAAGAGACACAACAGUUUUUAUACCGGUUCAGUACCUGUGUGGUACCUACGUCUAGUUCCCUUGGGUCACAAGGGUUCUCUUUGAGCUUGAUAAAUAUUUACAGUAGUGAUGAUUUGUGAACGUUCAUUACCAAUGUUGUACAACAACUAUAAUUCUUUGUAGAGUUGACCCAACUUUCUUUUUGUAUUCUACUCCUUCCUAUCUUUUGAGACAUUUGUAGACUCAGGAAUAUAGUGUUUGUACUAAGGAAUAGAAAGGCUUAGAAACGAAUGUUGUAGUUCUGUGUUUAAUCCUUGACUUUGCCCAUCCUCUUAUAGGCGAGUUUUGAGAGUUAUUGUAGAUUGUUCUUUGAUUGAGGCCCACAAUAUUUUACUGAUAUUUAACUCAAGAGAGGUGCCUCUGAUUCCUUCAUGAGAGAUGAGUUGGAUUCAUUUAAUUGCUCCAUGCCCGAAAUCUAAGGAGUGCACUUGAUUUGUUUCCCUUUCUUUUUUUUGAUGGCUUUAUAGAAAAAGGGGAAGCACUCAAAUUGUCUCCCAAUAUGUUGUGUUUCCCACUCAAAUUGUCUCCCAUUAUGUUGUGUUUUCCACUCCAUUUUGAAUCUUCUAUUUUACUGCAAGUAUGUCUUUCAUUAUGUCAUUUCACUUUUUUUGGAUCUUCUUGGAGUUACUGCAUUUAACAAGGCAAAGUUGGUGAGUUAGAUUUGCCUUAUUGUCAUCAUUGAAACUUAAGUGUAACAAGGAUAACUAAUCCCAGCAUAACUAAUCUCAGUAUAACUAAUUCGAGUAUAACGAAUCCCAGCCUAACUUAUUUUCAAACCAAACGACCCCAUAGUGUCUAUGUUUGACAAAAUAACAUUAGGCAUAGAAAUCUUGUUAAGAUUUAUACUGCCUGUUCAACUUGUGAUUUUGAAGGAAAUCAGUUUAAAGCUUUAGUUUACGAGUACAUGCCUAAUGGGAGCUUAGAAAGUUGGUUGCAACCUACUCCAGGAGCCGAUGCCUCAAAUAAUGAGGAGAGUAUCCUAGGUCUAAUCGAAAGACCAAACAUUGCUAUUGAUGUUGCUUGUGCACUGGAAUAUCUUCAUUACCAUUGCCACAAGCCAAUCGUGCACUGUGAUCUGAAGUCGGACAACAUCCUUACCGAAUCUCGACAAUGACAUGACUGCACAUGUAGCUGACUUUGGAUUAGCAAAGUUCUUGUCAGAAGACAUGAGCAAAUAUCAUCCUAAUCAGAGUAGUUCAAUUGGAAUGAGGGGGACAACUGGAUAUACUGCACCAGGCAACAUUGUCUAAUCAGUUAGAUAGUUUCCUGUUGAUUCCAUUAAACACUGUUUUUAGAUUCUUCAAAGUUGAAAUAUUUUUUUUAUUAUGAUUCCUGUUAAAUGGUGUAUCAAAGUAGUAUAUAUACUUGAUCUUCUCGAGAUAAGAGGCAGAGUUUUAAGAUUGACUUUUAUAAUUUUUAAGUGCUUCUGCAAAGGUGCUUCAUUUUUUCCUUUCCCUUUUUUCUUAGGUAUUUUUUCAUUUUUGGCCAGUCUGCCGAAAUUAAUUACAGGCGCUAACCCAAAGAUACAAAAGAUGUACACCAAUUAUGCAUAUAUUAUGUAUAUUAUAUGUAUAUUUAUACUUAAUAUACAAACAUAUACAUUUGCAGGCUAUUAUUUUUUAGGGCCGCCCGAAAAUGUAAUUAUCCCUCUUUCUCUUUUCUUAUGUACGCAGAGUACAGCAUGGGAGGUAAGGCUUCUCCAUUUGGUGAUGUUUACAGCUACGAGUUCAAAGAUGGACUGACUCUUCCCAAUUUUGCUAAGAUGGCGUUACCUGAAAUAAAUGAUGAAAUAUUUGACACAAUGCUUCAACCUAGCAGCAGCAGCAGAGAAGGGCAAGACGAAGAGGAAGGCAUUAUAGAUCCAGAUGGUUCUAGUGUGAAACAAGCACGGGAAUGCUUGAUCUCAAUAAUAAAGAUUGGAGUUGAAUGUUCAGUUGAAUCUCCAAGAGAAAGGAUGGAUAUUGGGGAUGUUGUCAAGGAAAUGCAAUUAAUUAGAGACAUUCUCCUCGCUUCUCAUGCAAUUCAAAGCUCAACCAACGGGUAAAUUUGUUCUACUAACUUUGUUUUCAACUGUGAUUUGUCAAAACUGAGAGUUGAUUGUUUUCUAAAGAAAGUAUCAAGAUGCUCAAAAACAACAUUUAGAAGUUAAAAUAGUUUUAUUUUUAACUGAGUUGAGUAAUGUUUAUUGGUAAAAAUUGCACGGAACGCCCUAUUUGGUCGCUCACAUUUAACCUAUACCCACCUUUUUAAAAAGUUUUAACUUGUACCCACUUUUUAAAUAACUUCAUGCCUCUUUCUCCCCUUCCUUCUCCUCCUUCGUUUUCUUCUUCUCCUUCUCCUUCUUAUUCUUCUUCGGGUAACAAUGAUUUUAUAUGGUGGUUGUAAACAUUUUAAUGCAAUUUAUGAUGUUUUACAAUGGUGAGUUAUUUUAUUUUUUUACUAUUGUUUAGGGUUUCUUCUUCUUCUUUUUCUUAAUUGCAAAAUGGGUUCAUUAAAUUUAUUAUUGUUUUGACAAAUUGAUGAUUGAGGUUUGUUCUGAUGAUAUUUGGAGGUUAUGUUUUAAAUUUGAGCUCUUUUGGAGUAGAUUUAGGUAUUAAAUCGUAUAUUGGAUUGUUAUAAUUCGAAGAACAAAUUUCUGUUUCUGGGCAAUUUGCACUUCAGGCCUAUUUGNNNNNNNNNNNNNNNNNNNNNNNNNNNNNNNNNNACUUUAUGCUUAUUGGCCUUAAGUGCAUCUGAAGUGUAAUUUUUACUUCAGACUUAUUAGCCUUAAGUGCAUGAAACCAUUGGUUGCACUUCAGACCUAUUUGGCCUUAAGUGCAUUUGAAGUGAAAUUUUUUCACUUCACGCUAAAUGUUUUUUAACUUCAGACCCGAUAAGUUUGAAGUUGAUCUUAAAGUGGGUAAGGUUCAAUUGUGACAUCAAAACCGGGUAUAAAUGCAAAUACCCAUAUUUAUUGGUUUAGCAUAUUUGAGAAAUUCUUAGGACAGCCUCAUUGAUGGAUUUCCAUUGUAUUUUUCUUAUGAUAAAGAGAAAAAAUUUAUCCCUUUUUUUCUUGUUGAUCAUUGUCUUUCUUUCCUCGGUUUCAGGAGCUUGAGGUUUGAAGGCUCUUCCAGUCGUUCUAUUACUAGUAACUGGCAAAAUUUUACAUCAUUUCGUCUACCUUGAUAAUUCUGGUGAAGAAGUCGAGGCCAGUGAUGUAUUCUUCUAUAUGAUUAGCUGAGCUGUUUUGUUUGCUCAUAUAUGAAGUACUUACCUCUGCAGAUUGAAGAUUUUACAUUAGUUCAAUCAUUUGUUCAUUUGGCCUUAGUUUAGCCGAGCCCAACUCCUUUACUUGCUUGUUACAAGCCCAAUAAAAUGUAACUCAAUAUAAAGUAAGGGAAAGAGCUUUAAGGGGCACUUACACUUUCCUUUUGAGAUAUCAACUUUAUCAAAACAAUAUGAAACUAUGCAACUAAGCAUACACAAUAUAGUACUAGAAGAUUUUACAAACAACAAAACCAAAAGAGGAUUUAUUCCUCUAAGCUAAAUGCUUCAUCUGCUUUCUUUAACUGCAUGCAGAAAAUAAUGAUCUUCACUACUUUCUUCAGCAACUGCUGCUUAUUUAUAAAUCUUGUUGGCCAUGUUAUCAAGAUACCUCAUAUAGGCAUAUCUCCAAGACUUUUUCAAUAAUAGAGUAGUCCAAAAUACCCAGAAAGUUGUGAUGAAUCCAAUUCCCAUGCUAAUAUAGAAUGAUGAUUCAUCGAGCCAGUUGUUUUCGUUGCUUUGAGUGGCGUCCACCUCCUGUUUCCUGGGAGAAUUACUAUUACAGUGAGUAAUGUCCUCAUGGAAAUGUCCGGAGCAGCCUUGAGAGACUGGUACGCCGCACAAGUCUGGAUUCCCAAUGUAACAAUCAGUGCUGAAGGUCGCAAAUUGAUUUCCAGUUGGGAUUUUUCCUGUCAAUCUAUUAUACGAAAAAUUCGCAAUUGCAAGAUAAUCAAGUUUCACCAUGUUGGAUGGUAAGAAACAUGACAGGGCAUUUCUGGAAACAUCAAGAGCUUCCAAAUUGUGCAAGUUACUAAUGUCAUGAGGAAUUGCUCCUGUUAAAUUAUUCCAUGAUAAAUUCAAGAACCUCAAUUGAACAAGGGUGGUGAUUUCCCCAGGAAUUUCCCCUGAUAAAUGGUUCUCUGAUAGAUCAAUUCCCAGGAAGAAAUGAGCACGAUGAUCAUAACCUCUCUCUUUCAGCAUCAUCAUCACAUCCUCCCUGUAUACUUCAAAAGGACCAUAAAUUAAGGAAGGAACCUCCUCUACCCCGGCCAAAGUCAGGAAAUUUCCAACACACUUUGGAAUAGUUCCUGAGAGAGCAUUGGAACUAAGGUCCAAAAUAAUCAAGCUCUUGAGCUGGCAAAUCUCCAGGGGAAUGUUUCCUUCAAACUUGUUCCACCUUAAAUUAAGAAUCAUUAAAUGUUUUAAACUCUCCCCUAACCAAAAUGGUAUAUUUCCAGAUAAAUCAUUUCUAGCAACAUCAAGAAUUUUUAGUCCUCGUAGGUUCUUCAAUGAUAAAGGAAGAUUUUUGGACAACUUGUUGUUGCUUAGUAGCAGAUACCUGAGAGUGGUGAGAUAUCCAAUGGAAUGAGGUACUUCACCGGACAGAUCAUUACGGGCUAAAUUCAAUACCGCCAGAUUUUUCCCAUAUCUCCAACAGUCUGAAAGUGUUCCUGAUAGAGAAUUGGAAGAUAGGUCUAGAAACAUGAGAGAAUUAUUCAUGACAAGUGAUUCACAUACAGGGGAAAUGGUACCAUUAAAUGAAUUGUGGUCCAAAAUCAAGGUCAUCAUCGUGGGCGAGAAAUGAGGUAGAGGACCAUCAAAGUUGUUCCAGCUCAGGUCUAGUUCUUCAAGACUAGUAAGUCUUUCUGUAACUUCAGGAACUUCCCCUCUGAAAUAGUUGUUUGAAAUAUUCAUAUGCUUUACCUUUGCAGACAGAUUCCAGAACCAUUCAGGAACUUUGCCAGAGAGUUCAGCGCCAGAGAUAUCAACAAAUGAGAACUCUUUUUGUGUCUGAAGCCACAGGGGAAAAUGUGUGCUAAGUUGGCAAGACUGCAGGCCAAUGAAGUCAAGUUGAAAGCGAGGCAUCCAAGUUGCGGUUAAAUUGAGGAUAAUUGAGUUGGAUGACAAGUCUAAAACUUGCAAGUUACUGAAAUUCAAGAAAUGAUCAGUAAUCGAGUCAUUGAAAGAGUUCCAAGAAACAUCGAGGACAACUAAUUGCCUGAGUUGUGCAAUGCUUCUUGCUAAAGGACCCUCCAUAUUAUUGUUAGAAAGAUCCAAAAUUUUCAACUUUGAUGACAGAGCUGGUGGUAAAUUGCCUUCAAGAGAUUUCCUUGAGAUAUCAAGAAAAGUAACUGAACUCAUAUUCACAAAAGUAGGAGGUAGAUUUCCUAGGAGAGAGUUGUCAGAAAGAUCAACAACUCUAAGUGAAUACAUGUUUCCAAAGGCAUUUGGAAGUAAACCAUUCAGCUGACUUCGACUGAGAUCAAGAUAAACAAGACUGUGGCUUGUGUUGAACAACCAGCUAGGAAUUGGAGCUUGAAAAUGGUUUAAGGAGAGGUCAAGAAUUUGAAGUGACGAUGUGAGAUUCAUAAAAGAAUUUGAAGGAAGCAACUGAUCAAGCUGACAGGCAGACAUAUGUAAUUCCGUGAGAGAAGUUAGCAGAUUGAUGUCAUGUAGCCAGUUUUUUGCGUCGCUCAUGUCAACUCCACUUAAGUCAAGAAUCUUCAUAGAGAAUAGGUGCCGAAUCCAUUGAAGGUUGUCAACUCGGAGUGAAAAACCAUCACUAAGAUCAAGAAACUGCAGCCGUGAUAGAUUUCCAAGAUGUUCAGGAAUGGUUCCCCUAAAUUUGUUUUUCGACAAAUUGAGAUACUCUAGGUUCUUAAAAGUGGAAAUAAACUCAGGAACCUGUGCCCCAAGGAAAUCAAUUUGGCUCAAGUCUAAGUGUCUUAAAUGAGGCAAGCCAAGCAAAGAAGUAGCAAACUCACCUUGCAAGAAUUGUUUGUGUAGAUCAAGAGCGAUUACGUGUCCAGUUUUGUUGUCGCAUUCAACACCUUUCCACUUGCAGCAGUUUUCCUCGAGCAUCCAGGACGACAUGCUUUGUAAUGGAUUCCUGAAACCUUGCCUGAACUUGAUAAGAGCAAUUUUCUCACUUUCAGUGCAAUGAAUGCCUGAAUUCAUAGCACUGAUUUGCACACAGGAAAAUCCAUCUGAAAUAGCUCCAAGAAGAAGAAGAAAACAAACUAAAUUUACACCUUCCAUGAGCAGUAACAAAAUUCUGAUCAAUAAUCAGAGUGAAACUGACUAGACAAAUGGAAUGCUAAAAGCUCAGUUCACUGGAUCCAAUAAUUGAAAAUUAAAAGCAAAAAAGUGUUUUGGUGCCUGGAGUCUCGGUCUUUGUUGACUUGAGUAAUGCAUUCUGUGUGUUGCUGGGGUUUCUCAGAAAUUACAUUUAAACCAGAAAUGAUAUUAAAUAAUUUAAAAGAAAAACUGAAACAUCUUUUGUCUCUAGUAUCUCAAAUGGAAAUGCUGCAAUGGUCCUCUUUUUAUGUCAUAUAAUAUAAGUACUUCGACCAAGAACUUUUAUGAUUUAUGAUGAUGUUUUGAGUUUUCCAUUUCAUAUCCAGCUUUAAACUUUCCUGAAAAUAUAACCUACUUUGAAUAACAUAAAGACUGGCUGUGGGAAACUAAAAAGUGUUUGCAUUUUGAAUUCUUCUUUGUUAUAUUUUAGAGUCCACUCAGACACAAGAAAGGGUUAGAAUUGUGUCUUGCCCGAUUUUAGCGAUUUCAAAGAAACUAGUUCUUUGUACUAAAUAAACAGACACAAACAGAAAGUGAAGUGCAGAAAUUGAACAACACAGUGAUUUUUACAAGGAAAACCUCCUUGCUCAAGAGAGUAAAAAUCACGGUCCAGUCUAAUAGGAUUUUUUCCCAAAACUUCACCAAUUUCAAAGAGUAGUUUUAGGUUAUAACUCUAUAACCAAGGAAACUAACUCUAAUACCCUUACUCUACAAUCAACUUAAUUGUAGCUAUCCAUUCCCAAACUAACUCUAGUCUACGAAGCUAAUACAAAAACUCAAAGUUUUUGUGCUAACAAUAUGUUACAACAUAAGAACAACAGACUAAAACAAAUAACUAAAGAACUAGCAGCUUUGUCUUCUGGAAUAGGUUCUUUAGUUGAGCAGCCUGAAUCCUUUGAGAGCACCUUCUUGCCGUAGUUGCUAUUGUCAAAAGUGAAUACUUGAUCUUUAGGCGACAUCAAUAGGUCUCUAUAUAUAGGAAUGAGGAUGACAGAAAUCUUUCUCCAAUUAAUUAAUGCUCUAGAACCUAGAAUAUUUCUGUUAAGGAAAACCUCUCCUAAUUUGAUUUAAUUUUCUUAUUUGUUUCCGCCUCCUCAACUCUUUCCUUCCACGCAAGUUAUUCCUUAUUGUAGAAAUUCUUUUAAUACACGGAUUCCUCUAUCCAAGAUAUUUUCUUGUUGCGCAUGAACUAACUUCUUUCUGGAAUUGAACUUGCACAUGUAAUUGCGCGUCUGAUCAGCAUUUAAUUCCAUCAUGCUACGAACCUGGUUCACUUGACAUCUGCUACUCAUAGUUGCUCUUCAUUUGUCAAUCAUCAAAACAUAACCAAACUAGAACAUGCUCAGCUCAACAUUCUUUGUACAUUAUUCAGUACAUACAUACAACUGAUUUCACUAUUAUGGAAAAUAAACUAGUGUAAUCAGCCAUUUAAUAACUAAGCUCGGUGAUGUGAAUACACCUAAUUUCUUGACCACUAUUCAAAUUUCAUAGAAACAUCUGCAACUAUCUUUUCAUGCAGGCAUAUGAGAAAUAAAUAAAGUUUGCAAAUAAUCUCUAUUUCAAAGUUUGUACUCAAUUCUUUGCAUACUAGCCUUCAUCAAUAAAAUUCUGGAGAUGAUAAUUUGAUUAGCUUAUUUACCAUCUGAUCUGUCUAAUACUAUUUCUCCUCUUAGACUGUAGAUACAGGUGCAAAUUUGAUUGGCAUGCACUGAUAAUUCUUCUUCUUCUUUUGGCAUCCGAAAAGAUUAAAUUUUGUGUCCCUUCUAUAUUGGGUUCGUAUGCGAGUCUUUUGGUACAAAACCCAUACUAAAAUGAAGAGUCCCUCCCACCUGAUGGCCCAAAUUCCACUUUCGCAAGACUGAUCAUCCAAAUGAUCCAAAUUAAAAUUUGGUAUUAACAUUUUAGAUAGUAUUUCACACCUUGUUUUUUUUAGAUAGUAUAUUCCUUCCGUUCACUUUUAGUCAGAGGCGGAUCCAUGAUUUGAAGUUUAUGGGUUCCUAUUAUAAUCUCAAUUUAAUAUACAAUAAUAACUGGGUUCACAGUUAUAUAUUUAUAGAUAUUUAAUGGAUUUUUUAAUAAAAAUACAGUGUCUCCGCAAAAGUUACUGGAUUCCUGGGAACCAGUAACUAUACUCUACCUCCACCACUGCUUUUAGUUGUUAACUUUUCACUUUGCACCCCAUUUAAGAAAAAAUAAAUGAAGUAUGUAUUUUACAAUUUUACCCAUAAUAAUGAUAGCAUUUCAAAAUAUUUUUCUUCUAACUUUCUAAAAUGGACAAGUAAAAGUGAAAAUAUAUUUUUAGUAUAGUGGACAAUUAAAAAUGAAUGGAGAAAGUAUAUUUUAAAUUAAUUAUUUUUUCCAAUUUUACCACUAUCAUUAAGUAAUUGCUUUCCAAAUUUAUUGAAAUUAUUACCAUUAACAAGAGUAGUAAAUACUUAAUUAAUAAUGAUUAAAUGAUAGAGUAAGAUGAGAAUGUGUAUUAAUUUACUAUGAUUUAAUGAUAAUCAUGUUUAUAAACACAGUUAUCAUAUAUUUAUUGAAUGGUAUAAAUACCUGCAUGUAAGUUUUUGAGACUGUUUCAACAUUCAGUUUCAUUUAAAUAUGCACCCUAUGUACUGUACGAUUCAAACAGAAAUAAUAUAAAGCUUGAAACAAGAGAACGUUACGUUAUGUCCUCCAUAUGGGAUGCUAAUUAAUUCUCCCACUACAUAAUCUGUAAAUUUUGUUUUCUUGUCAAUACUUUUACUGCGGAUUUUGCUAAUUUUAUGCUUUUAAAAAUAAGUGUAUUGAUCCCUUAUUCUUAUUAUAGUAUUUAAUACGGCAUAAUUUAUUUUCUGAUGGUUCUCAUGUGAUCCGUAGCAAUCUUUCCUUAAUUAUUUUGUUUCUAUCAUCAGCAUUCGAUAUUUGAACCUCUUCCUAACCUAUACUAUAUGUUAGACAUUUCUUUAAUGAAAUCAACUAUUAUCAUUUAGUUUCAGUUAAAUUUUUUAUUUAGCACCAUUAAACGAAUUAUUUUCUGUCUUUACAUUCAAAACCAUAAUUUUAUGGCAAUUUUUUUUUUCAAAUUAUAUGUCAAUUCAAUUCAAUUUGAUUUGAUUUAAUAUUUCGAUUUGGCUUGAAUAACUUAUAUGUAAGGGUCUAAAAGACAUCAACUGCGUAGAGAAGGACGGGAAACACGCUGAUCAUCAUCAUCAUCCAAGAGCUAAUAUAGGUUUCGCAGAAUUUAAUAGUUUUAGUUCCGACUUUGCGUUUGUAUUUAAAAUAAAAUUAUUUAAUAUCUAUAAAUAAUUUUCUAGAAUAUAAAACUCAUAAACUCAAACUUCCCGUAGAAAACUGUUUGACUACAUCCUAUAUUGAAAGCAAACCAAAUGCCGCGUCCCUUUAGCACAGUACUCUUGUCUUCCUAGCUGUAACGCGGUCUACUUUCAUGGGACCAAAAGAAAAUUAAUUUGAUCAAUGAUCACCAAAUAUAAAUUGCUUUAAUUUGUAUUUUCUUUUUUAACGUCAACAACACCUCUAGCUGGCUUGAUGAGACAAAAAAAAAACCCUUAAAUAAUCAUUAAGAUAGGGCAAUAUCCAUUGUUUGUUUCAAUCUUUCUUCACCAUAUUUUCUUUUUAUCAUGACUUUCACUCAUUCUUGAUCAUAUGAGUACCAAAUUAAGUGGUUGAAAAAGUAAAUAUGACUGGAAAAGCUACACUUGUGAAGGACAUUAUUGCCACAAUUCUAAAUCAUCAUGUGGUGCAAUUAAAGCUGGUCACAAAUAACUUUGAUAAAAUUCAAAGAAAUUUUAUAUUAUAUAGGGACACUAUUGUUGACAAGAAGAAGUGUCGCCUCCUAUAUUGUGAUAUUAUUACCAAGUCUAAAAAUGAGAAUUAUCACAGCAGGAAGUUUAUUGCCUCCAUGUUUUCAGAGAUGAAUUCUUGAUUUGGAGUUUACGGCGACUUCAAAUCAAUAUAUAAUAAUUAGAUUUCAGUCAAAUAUUUAUAGAUAUUUAGAUGUGAAUUUUGGAUCCCCUCUGCAUGUUCGGAAAAUAUCCUAAGGGGCUGGAAAUUAAAUUUGGCAAGAAGGAUCUAAUUAAUACAACGGGGAUGACACAGCAAUUGGAUAAACCACUCCCCACAAUGAUCGAUGCAUCUCCAGUAAUAAUUUGCAAGGUGUGUGGUACGUACUGCCUCUGAAAUAAUAUAUUGAACACAUUAGAAUNNNNNNNNNNNNNAAAUUAAAUGUUAAAUUCCUUUAGCUUUUUGUGUAUUUACUUUUUAAAUUUUUUGAAAUCCCUUUUAUAAAAAUUCUGCUUCCGCCACUGAUGUAGGAAUUCUUGAAGCAGAGAUUGUAUUGUAUUUUUCUUCUCAUUCAUAUAUAGUGAAAAACUCUAUCUUUUUCUGCCCUGAGGAUUAAGCUUAGCCGAACCUCGUUAAAUCCGUGUAUUGAUUUUUCUUCUCUAUUUGCUUUGUGUAUGAUUGUGUGCUAGUUAACCCACGAUCAUCCGCAACAAUUGGCAUCAGAGCAAGGUUUGGAUUUAUAUAUAUAAUCUAGGGUUAAGAUGUCUUCUUCAUCUUCAAAAAAGUACGAAGUAGAGAAAACGGGGGUUCUAGCUUCAGUCUAUGGAAGAUUAGGAUGAAAUCAUCCCUCGUGUUACAAGGUUUAUGGAAGGCAAUUGAUGAGGAUUUUCCUGAAGAGUUGAAAGAGACGGAGAAGGCAAACCUGAAGGAGAGGGAUUUGAGUGCGAUAUUCAUGAGUGUUACAGAUAGCGUUCUUCGGAAAAUUGCUGAAGAAACUUUUGCAGCAACAACAUGGAAGAAGCUGGAAGAUCUGUAUUCUAAGAAAUCGCUGACAAACCGCCUCUACCUGAAAAUGAGGUUAUACAAUCUUCGUAUGAAUGAAGUUACACCUGUUAAAACUCAUCCUGAUGAGUUUAAUUCAAUUAUAAUGGACCCGAAGAAUGUGGAUAUCAAAAUUGGGAGUGAGGAUCAGGCCUUGAUUGUGUUAUGUUCUUUACCAUCGUCUUAUGAUACUUUUCCUAAUAUGCUACUAUAUGGGAAAGACGGUAUUUCACUGGAAGAUAUUAGUAAUGCACUAUCUAAAAUGUUAAAAAAGAGCUUUCUAAACAGCACAACUGAGGAUGAGGGUCUUGUGAAUAGAGGAAGAACAUAACAAAAGGAAUUUAACAGGAAAAUGUCAACUGCUAGAUCGAAGUCUAGAACAAGGAAGCAGAACUGUUAUGAGUGCGGGGAGCAAGGUUACUAUAAGAGAGAUUGUCCCAAGCUGAAUAGAUAAUUCGGCAAAUAUUAUUGACACUCGCAAUAAUUUUGAUGAUACUGAUUAUGUAGGGGAAGUCUGUGCCAUAGGUUCUAGUCAUGGGCAGAAUUCCUAGAUUCUUGAUUCUGGUGCUACUUUUCACAUGUGUCCACACAAAAAUUAGUUUGCAACUUACAAGCAGAUCAGUGGGACUGUCUACAUGAGAGAUAGCAAUCCAUUACCAGUAGAGGGGAUUGGUAAUAUCAGAUUUAGAAUGUUCGAUGGAAUUAUCAGAAAUAUUGAGUGUUGGCAUGUUCCUCGGAUAAAAAAAAAUUUGAUCUCUCUUUCGACAUUGGAUGAUCAAGGGUAUAAGUUUCACUCCGAUAAUGGAAUACUUAAAGUGUGUAAAGGCUCCAUGGUACUCAUGAAAGGUGAACUACAUUCUAAAUUGUAUCAUUUUUCAGGCUAGUGUAGUUGAAGGAGAAACUGAUGUAGCUUCUGAAAAAAGUGAUCUAAAUCAGUCUCAGUUGUGUUGCGACUUGGUCAUAUGAGUGAUAAGGGAUUGUCUUUGUUGAGCAAGAAAAUUUUGCUAGAUGUGUACAAAAAUCAAGUUUCGAAUUUUUGUGAGCAUUUUGUAUUUGGUAAAUAGACAAGGGUAAAAUUCAGCAAGAAGGCAGAGCACAAGACCAAAGACAAGUUAGAUUAUGUACAUUCAGACUUGUGGGGUCCAAACAGAGUUUCCUCCAAAAGUGGUGCCAGAUAUUUUAUGACUUUGAUUGAUGAUUACUUAAGGAUGGUGUGGGUGUAUUUUCUUAAAACAAAAGAUGAGGCAUUUCAGAUAUUUGUUAAAUGAAAGACGAUAGUUGAGAGGCAGACGGAAAGAAGCGUUAAGCACCGGACUGACAAUGGAUUGGAAUUUUGCAAUUCUAAGUUCAAUAAGUUCUACAGCAGAGAGGGCAUAGUGAGACACCGCAUUUAUGUUAGAACAUCACAACAGAAUGAUGUUGCAGAACUUAUGAACAGAACGCUUUGUGAUAGGGCACGAAGCUUGCUUUCACAUUCAUGUGUUAGCAAGGAUUUUUGGGUUAAAGCAAUCAAUAUAGCUUGUUAAUUGGUCAACAGAUCUCCAUCCACAUCUAUUGAGUUCAAAACUCAUUUUGAGGUAUGGUCCGGUUCGCCAGCUGAUUAUUCAAAUUUAAGGAUAUUUGGUUGUCUUCUUAUGCUCAUGUGAGGGAUAGCCAAGGGCAAAGAAAUGCAUAUUUCUAGGGUAUGCAACUAGAGUGAAAGGUUAUAGGUUGUGGUACACAGAUCAAAAGACUUCAAGGCUAAUUAUCAAUAGAGAUGUGACUUUCAAUGAAUAUGCCUCACUGGACAGUCAAAGGAAGAAGGUAAUAGUAAAAACAGAUCGUGGUGUCAGUGACCGCAUAGAGCUAGAAAUUGAAUCUCCACUAACUCGGCCCAAUAAUUCUAAAGUAGAAGAAGUGAAGGAGAUGCAAAAUAUUGAAUAAGAUGAUAAUGUUGAUGCACCUGCGCAACAACAACCAUAUGCAUUGUAACAGGCAGAGAGAAGAGAGUGAUCAACCGACCAAAAAGGUUUGCAAAUGUAGUUGAUAGGAAUCUUCUCGGAUAUACCAAUAUCGUGGGAUUUGCUUUGGCAUUUGCAGAGACCGUUGAUGUGUUUGAGUGUUAUAGCUAUCAAGAAGCUAUUCCAAGUACAGAAUCAAAUCGACAGAUUAGUGUUAUGGCUAAAGAGAUUGAGUCUCUUAAUAAGUUUAGGCAUUGCUUAGGCUUCGUUGAUGUGUGCGGCAAUGGGUAGAGCCCUUGCGCGGGCUGAGGGCAAGGUAGAGAGACGUUGUUCCUGUUGAUGAAAAGAAUUCAAGCCAAGGGGAAGAUUUGUUAUUAUGUGGCUUGAAUUAUUUCCUUGUAUUUUUAGGAAAUUCAUAAUCCUUGUAGGUUUGAAAAAAUCCAUUGUCCUUGUUAAAUUGAAAAAAAAUCUUUCUCUUAUAAGUUUGAGACUAUUUGGGAUUUAUAUAUAGGGGUUGUAGUUGGGUAUUCUAGAAAUUGUAUUAUGAUUUUCUUCUCAUUCAUAGUGAAAAACUCUCUCUGCUUCUGCUCCGAGGAUUAGGCUUAGCCGAACCUCAUUAAAUCCUUGUAUUAAUUUUUCUUCUCUAUUUGCUUUGUGUGUAAUUGUGUGCUAGUUAACCCACGAUCUUCCGCAUCAAGUUUUUUAUUUGUACGACUGUUACAUUGAUUAAAUGAAGGCAUAAUGGCAUUUGGGGCCACCUAAACUUGCAUUAGAUUUUAAAGCCAAUAUUAUAACUCUCAUUUUUUCUAUUUUGGCACCUCAAUUCGAUAAAAAUGCUUAUGAUAAGCCCCUCUCUUAGAGCGUAUAUCUCAAUUGCUCGACAUGAAUACCAUGUUAGAUUCUUAGACCAUUUAUUAUUUGACAGCUGUAAUUUGUAGUUCCUGCCUUUUUAAAAAAAAUUAAUUUAUUAAAUUUCUAUUUUUUCUUCUUUUUCCUUUCUUUUAUUCUUCACCAUAGCUCUGCCAGAAGAACCUUCCCUAGCCCAGCCACUAUUUUCAAUGGUAAAAGUCCAAAUCUGAUCCAUUCAAAGUUGGACUUCACAAUGUCGAAAAAAUCAGAAUCGACAAAAUACCAAGGAAAAAGAAAAAAAAAAUCAUAGUCCAAUUUUGAAACACAUGUCAAAAUAAAAGAAAAUCACUACAACUUCAAGAAAUGUCUUUUUUUGGUAGGGAAGACGAGAGAGGCGAGAGGGAGGGAAAAGAGGAGGGGAAAGGGAAAUGUUUUUUUUUUUCUGUCUUAUUUAUAUUUUAUUCUGAUUCUAAUAUUUUUUUUAAAUAAAAAAUAAUACUAUCCACGCGUCUUGGUAGCGUGAUUUGCACACAAUUUAGUCAUGUCAGUUGUGCCGCUUCCACAUAGGCAUAGUCAACGGUCAAAUGUGUUUAUUAAUACUCAUUUCGUCAAGUUAGAUUGUUCAAAUAAAAAAGUACAAGUUCAUAUAUCGUAUUUGUAAACGGGUACAAGUUUAAUUGGCCAAGAGGCCAUUUGGCCUUGAAUAAAUCAGAAACCUCUCACCCCAAAACAAGAUGUUGUGCUAAGCCAGUUGGAAAAAAUCCAGCUUAUUGUAUUGAUCAACGGACAAUGUUUAAAGAGUCUCCACAUUGUCUCGCCGUAUUAAGUUUGUCGACUAAAGGCCCCACAUCUACACUGUCAACACGAUCUCCCAUGCAACCUCACGAAUCUUUUACACAUUCUAAUGCUUUCUCCUCCUAUUAAUUCAUGGAAUUAAUUUGACUUGAGGCGGGGUUUAAAAGUUUUUUAGAAUUUUAAACAGUAAAAUAAAAAGUUUAAAAUUAAAUUAUUUUGAAUAAAAAAAAUAUAACUUUUUCUUUAGGUAGACUAAAAACCAAAAUAUAUGAUAUAAAUUCGGAUAGAGUUCUUACUUGUAAGAAAAUUCUACCUAAUAAUAAACUCAAGAAGCGUCUAAGGCAACUAAGAAUUCGUAUAAAUGGGAUACCCUUUUUCGGUUAAGUCUUAAUGUUAAUGUCUUCUGUUUUAUUACUUACACAAUUACUUGGUGCCUUUAAGAGUUUUUCCUUUCUUGUUCAAAUCACAAACCACUUUUCUUGUCUCAUUUUAUAAGACAUUAUAAAUAUUUCUGCAUUGUUUUACCUUUUUUUUUAAAAACAAAGUUCCAAGUUUCAAGAUGAGAUAAGAUAGAAGUUGAAGCAGUCUAUUUCAUUAGUAAAAGGCAUUACUUUUCUCUUUAUUCUUUCCAAUCUGGAAAUGUCGAAUUUUAUAGGUUGUCAUAUGCCUCCCUACGCUAAAGACAGUGUCCAGCCAAAAGACCUGAGGGCCGAGGGGCCUUUUCUUUAUUUGCUAUUGUUUCCAAUCAUGCAUAGCUUUGACUAAUUAUAAGCUCCCUUUUCCCUCCGUUCGAAGUUUUAUCAUUUUAGUUUGUCUACUUAUCCUUCUUGUCUUUGAUUUAACGUGUUAGUUUCUCUAUCUCAACUACUAUCAUGAUUUUUGUGGGUCAAUUUAGACACAGGGUAUGAAUUUAGUGAGCGUUUGGUCAUACAUUUUUAAAUUUAUUUUAAAAAAUCUAAUUUUAGUGAAAUUUAGUUUGAAGAUAAAAAUAUGUUUGGACAUAAUUUUUUAAAAUAUAUUUCACUUUUUUUUUGAAAAAACAUGAAAUAUGACUUAUACUCAUAAGUUUUAAAAAGUAUCAAAAAUACCCAACAACUUUAAAGAAAAUUCAUACAAAAUAAGCGAAACAAAUAUGAAGAAAAUUCAUACAAAACAAGCGAAAUAAAUUUGAAGAAAAAUUUAUACUAACAUUAGCAGAUUUUAGUAAACUACCUUCAAAUUUUAUCUUUGCGGUGGAUUGCCACAGAAUGGCACAAUAAUUUUGGCGAAGGUUUUCAUCCGUUUAUAGAGAAGGCAAAGCCGCGUGAGUUUAAUGAGGAAAAAUGGGUAUAUAUGGAUUAGUUGGGUCAUAAUAACAGAAAGUGAGCUUUUUUAUAAAAUAUAAAAGUUUAGGAAUUUUUUUAAAAAUUUUUAAAAAAACAAACGGUAAUAUUUUGGGCCAAAAACAACUCUUGAGUUGGUUUUGGGAUUUGAAAAUUUGUCAAAAUAUGGAUAAAAUAUAUAAACAAAUAGGUAUUUGCCAAAAAUAAUUGGUAAAAUCUAUGGCCAAACGGGGCUUAAAGUUUAUUGGUCUGAUAUCGAAGUUAUAUUAAAUUUUUGGAUUCUAAAUUAAUAGUAAUUUUUACAUAUUAAAUAAACUUCUGAAAAUAAUUAUAGAAUUUGAACCAAAGCUACUGAUUCCCACAAACGUAUAACCUAAACUUUACCUCUGGCCCUGAAUCAAUUUUUUCGUGCUCAAGUAUGGCUUCUCCAUAUAUCAUGUCAUAACUCAUAUGUUGUAUCUUUCUCUUUCAUUUUCUCUAGUAAGAAAUGGAUUUUUAGUAGUUAGUUACAGCUUCCCAUGUUUGUAUAUUACACCAAUUGGAGAGGAUUAUUGAUAAAAGCUUAAGAAAUUUUCCAAUAUAUUGUAUACUCUAAUGAUCGAUUGAUCACUUGCAAAUUUAACAAAAAAUGUCUAAAUUUGCCAACUAGAGCUAUAAGCACACUAAAAAACCAUUUAAAAAGUAGAUCCGUUUUGUGACAUGUUUAUUAAUUAUAGUUGAGUGAUCAUAAGAUUAUAAGUAAAGAUUAUUGAAAACAUAAUUAAGUAAAUAAAAGCGUGCUCUCUCUAACAGCGUAAACUUUUACAUAUGAUGAUCACACACUUCAAUAAAGAUAUAUGUUAUAUUAUUUAUUGUAUUGAUGUAAACAGUUAAAUUUGAUUAAACAUUUACAUGUCCUUUUGUUCCAACUCAACAAGCAGAAUUCGCAAAGUAGUCUUUAUGUAAGUGAACACAUGGACACAUGGGCGAUGAUAAUCAAGCAUCCAUAGCCCUUCGUAAUCCAUCCGCAACAUCACAGAUCGUCGGCGCAUAGCGAAUGCUAAGUGUGCAACACCACAUAUAAAUGAAUAGGAAGAAUCAAAAUCGUAGGUUUCAAGCAGAAACAACGCCGCACAAUAAGGGAAGAAGAAAGGGAAAUUUUUCUAAAUGUCGUGUAGCCUCUCGAAAAUAGGUAUGGAUUUCAUACAAUAUCCCAAGGAUUGGUAGUACAAGUCAUGAGUUACUAAGACUGGAUUAUUGCAAAAAUUUAUAUGAAAUGAAUACAACUUCUGUUUGAAAUGUACAUAAAUAGAAUUCAACUCUAAAACUACCCAGGGACAAGUGGUAGCCACAUCCGAAAGGCACGAACAUCUUCAGAGUCAUCCCCCCGUCAUCACCCGCAGCUCCGCUCCAAAAUCUACACGUAAUGUGCAGAAGUGUAGUAUGAGUACAAUCGACCACAUGUACUCAGUAAGUAUCAAGAAUAACCUCGGUGAAGUAGUGACGAGGCUUUUUAGUUAAAAGGUACUCACUAAUAUAACAUGUGCAGAAAACUAGCAAUAGAACAAUACUACAAUAUAGAAUAAAAGGGUACAUGAAACGAAUAUGCGAAGCAGUAAAUGAGUACUAGAAGAAAUCACAAUUUAAUAUUUUCCAAUAUAUCGACCAAUCAUUUCCUUAAAGCAAUAACCAAUAAACCACGAUAGUAAAUCCAUAACUUUCAUAGUGUGAGGAAUAUACUCAAGAUAUCAAGUAAAUGACACGGCAACACCCUUCGUGCAUUUAUCUCAUUCUCACCAAAUAUACGUAUAACAGUACCAAUCGGAUGAAAAAAAUUCUAAUAACAGUAAUGACAAAGUAAAAAAUACACAGGUAGCAAUAAUGAACAAGGCAGUACAUAUGGACCACGGUAACAAACUAGGUAGAAGGUAUAGAAAUAAUGACAGCAAUUAGGAAAGAAGAAUAUGAAUUUCACUAACUAGCAUGGUAGAAGGACUAGGUGUAGAUAUAACAAAUAAGAGGGAAAGCAUGAUCUUUAUGAGCUAACAACUAGAAGGCAUGAAUAACUAACAUGAUAGAAAGGUUAUACGAAAGUGCAACAAAUGAGGAACGACAUGGAUGUAGAUAUAACAACAAGAAAAAAAAUAUGAUAUUUGCAAGUUAAACAAAUAGAAGACAUGGGCAACAUAACAAUAAUUAAGAUAGAGGACAAAGACGGAACAACAACAACAAGUCACAGAGAAAAUAUAGGUACAACAGUAACAACUCAAGGUAAAGGCGUGAACGUAUGCAGAAGGAAAAGAUAUCACAACAUAAUGCAUGUACCUCGUCCUCGCCUACACGGAAACACCCUUCGUGCCAUGAACUCCUGAUAAUAUAAAAGCAUGAUAAUAUAAAUAAAAUUUCACGACAUCACCCUUCGUGAUUCACACUCUCACUCACAUAAUAAUAUAAAUGAGAUCAGGAUAAUAUAAAUGAAAUAGCACGGCAUCACCCUUAGUGCUUUUACUCUCAAAUGAAUGGCACGACAUCAUACUUCGUGCUUUACACUUUUCUUCACAUGAUAAAAUAUAUGAAAUGGCACGACAUCACCCUUCGUGAUUUACACUCUCCCUCACAUGAUAAUAUAUAUGCAAUGGCACGGCAUCACCCUUCGUGCUUUACACUCUUCCCCACCAAGUAUAUAUAUAUCAAUGACAAACAAGGUAAGAAGCAUAAAUAAUGUCAAGGAGAGUGGUUAAACGAAAUAUUUUAAAUGAACCCCAAUCACAACUUUCAAGCCAACAAUAGUUCAAUAAACCCUCAAGAACCUUAUUGUUCAAGUAUUUUAAUAAAUCUCAAGAAUGACCUACAACACGAGUAUAAAAUCUAAUAUCUCAAGAACAACGGCCGCACCAAUGUAUUAGUGAUUAAGCAUAAUAAUGACCGAAUUAGACACAUCAAUAUUUUUCGAAAUUCAGUCAAAUUUUAAUCAAGUUAUAAUAAACUAAAUCUUAGUUUCUAACAUUUAAUUCCAUAUUCUUAGUGAUCUAGAAGUCAAGUCAGACAUGAAGCAAGAAGGUCACGUAAUUCUACAAGGUGCGAUUUAUAGUAUAAUUUAUCCCCGAGCAUGAUUAACCCUGGUACACGCAUAUAUACUCGUCACCUCAUAUAUGUAUCACCCCCGCAUAUAGCAAAUAAUGUGAAUUAGUAGGAAAUUUUUUUUCAAUAAAGUUAGAUAAGACACUUAUCUCAAACAAGCCAAAUCCAUACACUAGAAGUGCCAUCCCACUCAAAUCAUCCUCCGAACGGCUCGAAACUAGCCAAAAGUAACUCAAAAUCAUCAAAUAAUGUCAUAGGAUGCAAACCCAAUCGAUAAAGGUCUAAUCUUUAUGCAUUUACUCAAGGUCAACCAAAACGUCAAACCGGGCCCGCACCUCGGAACCUAACAAAACUCACAAAAUUCGAAAACCCAUUUAUUUACGAGUCCAACCAUACUAAUUUCACUCAAUUCUGACUUUGAAUCGAUAUUCAAAACUCAAAAUUUCACUUUAGGAAAGUUAAGACAAAAUCCAUCAAUUUCUCCUUUAGAAAUCAUGAAUCAAAUGCCAAAAACGAAGAUGGAAUCACGGAAUAUAAUCAAAAUCGAGUAAAAGACACUUACCCCAAUCCAUGUGAUGAAAAUCACCUCCACUGAAAAUCGCGAAGUAGCUCCACUGAAAAAAAUACCCAUCGCAAUCGCGAUCGCGAAGCACAACUGAAACACCAAAAAAUCAACAAUCUUAUGCAACUCCGAAAUAGUCAGAAGUCAAUCCGAAACACUCCCGAACCCCUCGGGACCCCAUCCGAACAUGCCAACAAGUCCCAUAACAUAACACGGACUUACCCGGGACCUUAAAUCACACAUAACAACAUCAAAACCACGAAUCGCACCUCGAAUCGAACUUAAUGAACUUUCAACUUCCAAAACUCAUGCCGAACAAUAUCAAUUCAAUUCAGAAUGGACUCAAAUUUUGCAUACAAGUCCCAAAUGAUAUAACGAAUCUAUUACAAUUUCUGAAACCACAAUCCGAACCCGACAUAAUCAAAGUCAACUCUCGGUCAAAUUUAUGAACAUUCCAAACCUUCAAAAUUCUAACUUUCGUCAAUUAGUGCCGAAACCUCCUAGAAUUAUCCAAAUGCAAAUCUGGGAACAUGCCGAAGUCGAAAAUUACCACUCGGAUCUAACGGAACCAUCAAAACUCCGAUCCAAGGUCAAAUACAUAAAAAGUCAAACUCGGUCAACUCUUCCAAUUCAAAACUUUUAACAUGAGAAUCCCUCUUCCGAAUCGAUCCUGAAUCAUUUGAAAACCAAAACCAAUGAUUAAAAAUGGUCAUAAUACGUCAUAUGAAACUACUCAAGACCUCAAAUAGCUGAACGGAAUGUAAAUUCUCAAAAUGACCGGUCGAGUAGUUAUAUCCUCCCCCACUUAAAAAUACGUUCGUCCGCGAAUGUGCCUAAAGUCGUUCCAAUCCCAUCAAAUCGUGGUGUAACCUUAACAUACACAUACUCGGGGUGAUUCCACGUCACCCCAACCCAUAUAAGUCUGGCAACAUAACAUAACUAAAUAUCCUUAAUUCAACCUUAGCUCAUAAGUCUUAGAACCCAAAUUUCCAACAUCUGGAAUUCCUUACAAGGCCCGAAUAUUGCAUCUACACACUGUAUAAGUCUGAACAAUAUAUAUUAAGUCAUAACCAUAACCCAAGAUGUAAUCACAUGAUAUACCUCAUCACUCAAAUACUCACAGCAGUAACUGCUGACCGCCACGGCUACCCAAAAACAAAUUCGGUACCGGUAGUAAACCUCAAAUCAAAUAAAACUUCGUUCAAAACCUUCAUACACUGUCAAUGAUGAAAGAAACACACAGAAUCUCUUAACCACUCAUAUGAUCAAUAAGCCAAGAAACUCACUCGUCCGACCAGGGCCAUUGCCCAAAUCCUUAGCAAAAAUAUAGUAUCAUUCUUCCAAACAUUCCUUACCCCAAUACGAUAGUGCAAAUCUAAGGUCUAGAAACCUCAUCUCAGCCAAUACAAGCAACCCAACCGACAAUCUCACCAAAAACUAUAUGGUGCCCUAUACGACGCGGUUAUGUACACCAAACAAGUAAUAAUUCAGACAUGAUAGAUAACGGUGAGAAAGUUAAACAAGAACACUACUAAGCAAGUUAAGUAGGCAGGGUAAUUUAACAUUUUCCUAUGAACUAUUUUCAACAAGGUAAAAGCAAAACACAUGAAAUAAGCAGCAGGAGUUACAUCUCAUCAUAGUACAGUUCAUCGCGCAACCAGAUCCUAUCAUAUCAAUCCACAUAGGGUACCCUUCUAGCCAUAAUACUCGGGCUCACUAAUCACAUGUGCGUCAACAUCAAGCACGAUAAACUACACAAGAUAUAACUGUGGGAAGAUGAUUAGGCACAAACAAUGCUGAGAAAGACAAGUACAACUAUGUUGUAAUAAGCAAGUCAAUAUCACGAGGGCCACCUCACCCAUAAAGCCAUAAGGCCUAAACGAAUUUACAAUAUGCGUGCGAACAAUCAUGUAACCUUCACCACUUGUCAUAGCAUAAGAGAGAAACACAAAACAUAGACUAAGGCGCGAAUAACAUCCAUUCUGCCCGAUGAUAUACAUGUGGUAAUAGCUGCGUAAGAGCAAGCAAAUCCGAUCUGAUACAGAAUACACAUUCUCAUUAAGUUCAAAAAUAAUCCCCAAACCAAAUUCCGACCAUCCCCAAACAGGUAAUUAACCUUCCAAAAGUCCAUAACACCUACCAUCAAUCAUCCAAUCCUUAACAUUUAUUCACAACUCGCAAUCAAGGAAUAGUCUGCCAACGAGAACAUCCAGUCUUUGAACCUCACGAAUACUAGAAUCUUCAUAUCCAAUCUCAACACUGUUACUCAAAUGGUUGUUACGUAACUCAUACUCUAUCAUCUUACAAAAAAUACCCACAAGUCAAAACACAAUGCACCUGCCAACAUGCGCACUCUCCUACGGCGAUAUCAAAUAUUGCCCUCAUCUUCUUAAACAUAUGGGAUCAUCUCUGUCACCAAGAGCUCAUAUCAUUCCCUUCAAAACUAAAUCGCAAUCUUGAACUUGCAGCUUUCAACCCCACUGACGCACCGCUACUAACAUGCUAACUCGUGACACUACGAAAAUUUCAUAAUUAACUCUGAACCAUGAGCAAAUUGAACAUCUCAUCAACCGUGAACCUUUCAUUUAACUCAAUCCAGGAGAACAUCACCACACACAAUAUAACUUCUAUACCUGUAGCAAACACCAACUCCGGUCGUGGUCAUAACCAUGAUGAAUACUUUGGAACUCAUUAACACAUAAUCGAUUCAUCAAAACCACUCACCUCUAACUCAACCGAGUCACACAGACUACCAACCUGAAAGUAACUCAAUCUGAUAGGCUCGCUCUGAAGGAACCUUCUGCGAAUCCGAAGCCAUUUCUUGCAUCUCUCCAAUAUUGACAUAGAACUACUGUAGAUCCGAUCACCAUUCGCUACCGAUCUCAACCCUACCCGUACACAAAUUCAAAAGUCCUUAAAUGCUAAUUAAGACCUGGAACUCGUCAGAACCUCCUCGAUAACCACUCACCUUACUCUGAUAUUCAAUACACAGCUAAUACGCAUCGAGCAACCCGCGCUUCACCAGCACAUGACUAUUCGAAGAAACAACCAAGCAAUCAUUCGGCCCGAAAACUAAUACAACGCAUGAUCCUACAAUUCGAUCGUCAUUAGCAGACUUCCCCACUUAGCCCGAAGCCAUAGAACACAACAUUGGCAAUCUAAAGUACCAUAUAUUCAUAGUUUCCCUGAUUUCGCAUGCCUAUUUACCUGAAUAAACUCAUGUAAUACUAGUUAUAGAACACUCCGAAGACUCUGCCAAGAACUAACCCGCCCUUGCAAUAGUCAAUCAAACUUCCCCAAAUGCUCUGAAAUGAUCAUAUAUGCAUUCCACCAAAUGGAAACCUCAUACGAAACACAUGAUCCAAACUCAUCACGCUGGAGAUGGCCCGCUGACUGCACUCAAAUCGACACCUUACUAUGAACCCACCUUAAUCACAACAACUAGGCCACCAGCCAGUAUUCCCAAGUCCGUGCUUACCAAUCAGAUAUAAGAACCCACCUCCCACCACAAAUGAACGACUGGGAGAUUUAACACUGCAUCUUCUACCGAGAUUAGAUAACACAUCGCGAUGAUAAUCAAGCAUCCAUAGCCCUUCUAAUACAUCCGCAACAUCACAGAUCGUCGGCGCAUAGCAAAUACUGAGAGCGCAAUACCACAUAUAAACAAAUAGGAAGAAUCAAUAUCGUAGGUUUCAAGAUGAAACAAGGUCGCACGAUAAGGAAACAAGAAAAAGGAAAUUUUCCUAAAUGCCUUGUAGCCUCUCGAAGAUAGGUAUAGAUUCCAUACAAUAUCCCAAGAACUGGUAGUACAAGUCAUGAGUUAGUAAGACAGGAUUAUUGCAAAAAUUUAUUUGAAAUGUAUACAACUUCUGUUUGAAAUGUACAUAAACAAAAUUCAACUCUAAAACUACCCAGGGACAAGUGGUAGCCACAUCCGGAAGGCACGAACAUCUUCAGAGUCAGCCCCUGUCAUCACCCGCAGCUCCGCUCCAAAAUUUGCACGUAAGGUGCAGAAGUGUAGUAUGAGUACAAUCGACCCCAUGUACUCAGUAAGUAUCUUGAAUAACCUCGGUGAAGUAGUGACGAUGCUUUUUAGUUAAAAGUUACUCACUGAUAUAACAUGUGCAGUAAACUAGCAGUAGAACAAUACUACAAUAUAACAGAAAAGAGUACAUAAAACGAAUAUGCGAAGCAGUAAAUGAGUACUAGAAGAAAUCACAAUUUAAUAUUUCCCAAUAUCUCAACCAAUCCUUUCCUUAGACCGAUAACCAAUAAACCAUGAUAGUAAAUCCAUAACUUUCAUAGUGUGAGGAAUGUACUCAAGAUAUCAAGUAAAUGGAAUGGCAAUAGCCUUCGUGCAUUUAUCUCAUCCUCGCCAAAUAUAUGUAUAACAGUACCAAUCGGAUAAAAAAAUACCAAUAACAGUAAUGACAAAGUGGAAAAUACACAAGUAGCAAUAACGAACAAGGCAGUACAUAUAGACCACGGUAACAGACUAGGUAAAAGGUAUAGAAAUAAUGACAACAAUUACGAAAGAAGAAUAUAAAUUUCACUUACUAUUCCAAGGACUGGUAGUACAAGCCAUGAGCUUCUAAGACUGAAUUAUUGUAAAUAUUUAUAUGAAAUAAAUACAACUUCUGUUUGAAAUGUACAUAAAUAGAAUUCAACUCUAAAACUACCCAGGGACAAGUGGUAGCCACAUCCGAAAGGCACGAACAUCUUCAGAGUCAUCCCCCGUCAUCACUCGCAGCUCCGCUCCAAAAUCUAUACGCAAUGUGCAGAAGUGUAGUAUGAGUAUAAUCUACCCCAUGUACUCAGUAAGUAUCAAGAAUAACCUCGGUGAAGUAGUGACGAGGCUUUUUAGUUAAAAGAUACUCACUAAUAUAACAUGUGCAGAAAACUAGCAAUAGAACAAUACUAUAAUAUAGAAGAAAAGGGUGCAUGAAACGAAUAUGCGAAGCAGUAAAUGAGUACUAGAAGAAAUCACCAUUUAAUAUUUUUCAAUAUCUCAACCAAUCCUUUCCUUAAAGCAAUAACCAAUAAACUACGAUAGUAAAUCCAUAACAUUCAUAGUGUGAGGAAUGUACUCAAGAUAUCAAGUAAAUAGAACGGCAACACCCUUCGUGCAUUUAUCUCAUCCUCACCAAAUAUACGUAUAACAGUACCAAUCAGAUAAAAAAAAAUGCUAAUAACAGUAAUGACAAAGUGAAAAAUACACAGGUAGCAAUAACGAACAAGGGAGUACAUAUGGACCACGGUAACAGACUAGGUAGAAGGUAUAGAAAUAAUGACAACAAUUAGGAAAGAAGAAUAUGAAUUUCGCUAACUAGCAUGGUAGAAGGCCUAGGUGUAGAUAUAACAAAUAAGAGGGAAAGCAUGAUCUUUAUGAGCUAACAACUAGAAGGCAUGAAUAACUAACAUGAUAGAAAGCUUAUACGAAAGUGCAACAAAUGAGGAACGACAUAGAAGGCAUGGGCAAAAAAUGAUAGACAAAAAUGAUAGACAUAACAACAAGAAGGAAAAAAAUGAUAUUUGCAAGUUAAACAAAUAGAAGGCAUGGGUAACACAACAACAAUUGAGAUAGAAGACAAAGACGAAACAACAACGACAAGUCACAUAGAAAACAUAGGUACAACAGUAACAACUCAAGGUAAAGGCAUGAACGUAUACAGAAGGAAAAGAUAUCACAACAUAAUGCAUGUACCUCGUCCUCGCCUACACGGAAACACCCUUCGUGCCAUGAACUCCUGAUAAUAUAAAAACAUGAUAAUAUAAAUAAAAUUCCACGACAUCACCCUUCGUGAUUCACACUCUCACUCACAUAAUAAUAUAAAUGAGAUCAGGAUAAUAUAAAUGAAAUGGCACGGCAUCACCCUUAGUGCUUUUACUCUCAAAUGAAUGGCACGACAUCAUACUUAGUGCUUUACACUUUUCUUCACAUGAUAAAAUAUAUGAAAUGGCACGACAUCACCCUUCGUGUUUUACACUCUCCCUCACAUGAUAAUAUAUAUGCAAUGGCACGGCAUCACCCUUCGUGCUUUACACUCUUCCUCACCAAGUAUAUAUAUAUAUAUAUAUCAAUGACAAACAAGGUAGGAAGCAUAAAUAAUGUCAAGGAGAGUGGUUAAACGAAAUAUUCCAAAUGAACCCCAAUCACAACUUUCAAGCCAACAAUAGUUCCAUAAAACCUCAAGAACCUUAUUGUUCAAGUAUUUCAACAAAUCUCAAGAAUGACCUACAACACGAGUAUAAAAUCUAAUAUAUCAAUAAUAACGGCCGUAGCAAUGUAUUAGUUAUUAAUUAUAAUGAUGACCGAAUUAGACAUAUCAGUGUUUCUCGAAAUUCCGUCAAAUUUUAAUUAAUUUAUAAUAAACUAAACUUUGGUCUCUAACAUAUAAUUCCAUAUUCUUAGUGAUAUAGAAGUCAAGUAAUACAUGAAGCAAUAAGGUCACGUAAUUCUACAAGGCGCAAUUUAUAGUAUAAUUUACCCCCGAGCAUGAUUAAUCCUGGCACACGCAUAUAUGCUCGUCACCUCAUAUAUGUAUCACCACCGCAUAUAGCAAAUAAUGUUAAUUAGUAGAAAAACUUCUCUCAACAAAGUUAGGCAAGACACUUACCUCAAAUAAGCUAAAUAGAAACACUAGAAGCGUCAUCCCGCUCAAAUCAUCCUCCGAAUGGAUCGAAACAGCCAAAAGCAACUCAAAAUCAUUAAAUAAUGCCAUAGGAAGCAAACCCAAUCGAUAAAGGUCUAAUCUUUACGCAUUUACUCAAGGUCAACCAAAAAGUCGAAGUCGGGUCCGCACCUUGAAACCCGAUAAAACUCAUAAAAUCCAACAACUCAUUCAUUUAAGAGUCCAACCAUACUAAUUUCACUCAAUUCCGACUCUGAAUCAAUGUUCAAAACUCAAAAAUACACCUUAGGAAAGUUUAGACAAAACCCCUCAAUUUCUCCUUUCUAAAUCAUGAAUCAAAUUCCAAAAAAUGAAGAUGGAAUCACGGAAUGUAAUCAAAACCAAGUACAAGACACUUACCCCAAUCUAUGUGAUAAAAAUCGCCUCCAAAAUUGUCCAAAUCCGAGCUUCAUAGCUAAAAAUAUGCUCAAAUGUCUGAAACCUUCGAAGUAGAGUACUCUAUAUCACUCCUCCAGCAAUACCCUUCGUGAACACUCUAGCAGCCUCGCGUUCACGAAGCACAAACUCACACUACCACACUUUACUCUACGCGUUCGCCGUAACAACCUCGCGAACGCGAUGACGCACACUGCAAGACCUCCGCGAUCGCGGACAAACCAUCGCGAACGCGAUGAAGAACCCAUCAAGACUGACCAACCCCGCUCAACACUAUGCGAAUGCAUAGCCAUAGACGCGAAUGCGAAGACUAAAAAAUUUAACCAAGUGCAAACACGAUCUCUGAAGCGCGAACGCGAAGAACAAACAGCUCCACUAACAAAAACGCCCAUCGCGAUCGUGUUCCGUCUCCCGCGAUCGUGAAGCACAACUGAAACACAAGAAAACCAACAAUCUCAUGCAACUCCGAAAUUGUCCGAAGUCAAUCCGAAACACACCUGAACCCCUUGGGACCCCCGUACGAACAUGCCAACGAGUCACAUAACAUAACACGGACUUACUAGAGACCUCAAAUCACACUUAACAAUAUCAAAACCACGAAUCGCAUCUCGAAUCGAACUUAAUAAACUUUUAAACUUUCAACUUCCAAAACUCAUGCCGAACAAUACCAAUUCAACUCGGAAUAGACUCAAAUUUUGCACACAAGUCCCAAAUGACAUAACAAAGCUAUUCCAAUUCCUGAAACUACACUCUGAACCCGACAUCAUCAAAUCAACUCUCGGUCAAAUUUAUGAACAUUCCAAACCUUCAAAUUUUUAACUUUCGCCAAUUAGUCCCGAAACCUCCUAGAAUUAUCCAAAUACAAAUCCGGGCACACGCCCAAGUUCAGAAUCACCACCCAGACCUAAUAGAACCAUCAAAACUUCAAUUCGGGGUUAAAUACGCAACAAGUCAAACUCGGUCAACUCUUCCAACUCAAAGUUUCUAACAUGAGAAUCCCUAUUCUGAAUCGAUCCCGGAUCAUCUGAAAACCAAAACAAAAGAUUCAAACAAGUCAUAAUACGUCAUAUGAAACUACUCAAGACCUCAAACUUCUGAACGGAAUGCAAAUGCUCAAAACGACCGGUUGAGUCGUUACAUCCUCCCCCACUUAAAAAUACGUUCAUCCGCGAACGUUCCUAGAAUCGUUCCAAGCCCAUCAAAUCGCGGUGUAACCUUAACGUGCACAUACCCAGGGGUGAUCUCACGUAACCCCAACCCAUAUAAGUCUGACAACAUAACAUAACUGAAGAUCCUUAAUUCAACCUUAGCUCAUAAUCCUUAGAACCCAAAACGCGAAUCACACCCCAAUUCAAGACAAUUAAAACUAAUGAAUUUUCAACUUCUAAAAUCGAUGCCGAAACCUAUCAAACCAACUCCGAUUGACCUCAAAUUUUGCACACAAGUCAUAAAUGACACAGCGGACCAACCCCAACUCCGGAACCAAAAAUUUGAGUCUAACAUCAACAAAGUCAACUCUCGGUCAAACUUCUUAACCUCCGAAACCUUUAAGUUUUCAACUUUCUCCAAUUCAAGCCACAACGACCUACGGACCUCCAAAUUAAUAUUCGGACACACUCCUAAAUUCAAAAUCAUCAUACGAACCUAUUGAAAUCAUCAAAUCUUGGUUCCGAGGUCGUUUAUUCAAAAUGUUGACUCAAGUCAAACUUGACCUUCUUAGGCCACUAUUAAGGAACUAAGUUGAGCCACAUGCUUUCUAUGGGAAACUAUAGACUCUUUCUAAUUGUGAAUUUCUAGUUAUCACACGCUUCCAAACCCGAACCGUCCAUUUUCGCAAGUCAAAAAACAGUAAAGACACAUACAAGAAAUCUUAAUUAGAGGAACGAGGAUCUAGAAAACAAAACGACUGGUCGGGCCGUUACAUUCUCCAACCNNNNNNNNNNNNNNNNNNNNNNNNNAUAUAUAUAUAUAACACAAAUUAAUAAUUAUUAAAAAUAUUGGUAUAAAGGGCUUAUCUCUUUAUACUUUUGAUGAAUUCAAAAUUACAAUUUAGUAAAAAAAUAUUAUAUUAUUUAAAUUUUCAGUAAAAUACAAAAUGAGAAAACUAAUCAAAUAUUACAGUAGAAAUAAUGUACGAAAAGAGGGGAUAAAUAUAAUUUUAUGAUAUUUAUAUUUUAAAUUAAUUAAUAAAUAACACUCAAAAAUAUUAUUGAUAAAUUUAGAUAAUUGAAGAAUUUUAAUCAGUAUAACAUAAGUUUUAAAAAAAUAAAAAUAUUUUUAGAGUGAGAAAAAAUAUAUCUAUAUUAUAUUAAAAGCGAAGUAGUACCAAAAUAUUAAGCCAAUUGACAAGUUAAUAAGAAAUCAUCUUAGUAAAUGUAUAGUACUAAAUAUUUGCUAAUUUCAUAACAAUAAAGAAUAAAUAAGGAGAAAAUAAUUUAUUUAAUUACUAUAUAAUAUGUAUCCUUUGAUUUUGUAUAGAUUAUGUUAUAUUUUCGUUUACUAUAUUAAAUAAUAAAAUAACAACUAAUAUUUAUUAAAAUAAUAUGAUAUAUUAGAUCAGAAUUUUAUAAGAAUAUUAUUUUAUCAAAUUAUCUGCACAUCAUGCGGGUUCUAACACUAGUUGAUGUCAUAAUGUGCUUAGUGCGUUGGUAUACGGUUGUGGAGUAAUAGAUUAUUGUAGAUUUAAAAUAAUAAUUUUAUUGUGAUAAAUUAACCUAGAAUCUAUUUUAGUUUUCGAAAAACAAAAGAAUCGGCCUCGUAACUCCGCUUGAUUUGAUUUGCUAUGUCAAAUAAUCAGAACAAUCAAACUUUGCAGGACUUUCCCACAUGGCCUUUCUCUCCGGUACUUAAAAAGCCGAAGGCAACACGCGGAUGCGGCUACGCUAAAAACACUGGGGAAAAAAUAGAAAAAAAUUUCCCACGUUAAGAUGAUAACAUGAAACUCUGAAAUGAAGAACGCAAUUGAGCAAUACUAACAUCUAUAAUCUGCAUCAAUAACAAAAUGAGUAUGUGAUAUUGAAGAUUAAUGAGGAUAGAGAGGAAUUCCUCUUCAUUCUCCGAAAUUAUCAAGCAAUGCUUAUACAUCUAAGGAUGAUUUCUUAAACUAACCUACAUCUAGUUUCCAUUCCUCAUCAAUUUUAUGUCCUUGAUCAAACGAUCUAAGUUACAGUAAGAUGAUCCAUUUUCACUCACUGAUUUCCUCGCCAAUUUUGUCAUCAGGCGGGCAGAUUUUGCGAACUCAUCCUUUCUAGUCUCUAUUAAAUCCUUCACCAUAUUUUCAAUUAUGACUCUGUCACAAGUGUCCUUCAUGUCCAAUCCAAUCUUCCAAACCUCCCCUACAAGCCUACUAUUGACUUGUUGAUCUGCAUAAAAUGGCCAGCAUAUCAUUGGAACUCCCUCAUAUAUGCUCUCCAACGUCGAAUUCCAACCACUAUGAGUCAAGAAUCCUCCAAUAGCAGGAUGCGCUAGGACUUCCUCUUGUGGUGCCCAUUCGACGAUAUAUCCCCUUUGUCUUGUACCCUCUAAUAACUCCUCUGGAAUUUGAUAGUCUUCAGCUACGGAUUUUGGCCUUACAACCCACAAGAAAGGCUUUCCACUGUUCACAAAUCCAUGCAAAAAUUCCAUAAAUUGGUCUCUUGUCAGCACUGUCAUGCUCCCAAAACUAACAUAUAUCACUGAUUUGAAUGGUUGCUGGUCAAGCCAAACUAUACAACUUCUAUCUUCUUCCCAAAGACUGCUCGAAGAUGUACAUGUUAGCUUAAUAUUGGUAGCUACUCUGGCUUUUAGUUGCACGUGGAGUGGUCCGAUUGUGUAGAGUUUGGAAAUGUUGUUGGUUAUUUGGGCUAGUGCUGGUCCUUCAAGUUCUUCAAAAGUGUUGAGAAUAAGCCCGUGUGCGCUCUUUGUAAGUUGAGUUGCUGAAAUGACCAGUUGAAGACCACGGUCAGUAAGAUCACUUGCGCGGCAAAAACUAGGAAGGUCGCGAAGCCGUAGAAAGGUCUCCAUGCCCACGACAUUGGUGAGUAGUGUAUCCAUGUCACUUUGUCCUUUAUAUAUAUAACAUAAGAGUUUAACUACUAUACAUUCAUAAUGUAUAACAAUUUUUGCAUUGAUCAUGUAAUACAAAAUAAUAAAUGCGAGUAACCGGCCAUAAUAAGUGGACUAGUUACCUAAAAACUAGGGGUGUACAUGGGUCGGGUUAGUNNNNNNNNNNNNNNNNNNNNNNNNNNNNNNNNNNNNNNNNNNNNNNNNNNNNNNNNNNNNNNNNNNNNNNNNNNNNNNNNNNNNNNNNNNNNNNNNNNNNNNNNNNNNNNNNNNNNNNNNNNNNNNNNNNNNNNNNNNNNNNNNNNNNNNNNNNNNNNNNNNNNNNNNNNNNNNNNNNNNNNNNNNNNNNNNNNNNNNNNNNNNNNNNNNNNNNNNNNNNNNNNNNNNNNNNNNNNNNNNNNNNNNNNNNNNNNNNNNNNNNNNNNNNNNNNNNNNNNNNNNNNNNNNNNNNNNNNNNNNNNNNNNNNNNNNNNNNNNNNNNNNNNNNNNNNNNNNNNNNNNNNNNNNNNNNNNNNNNNNNNNNNNNNNNNNNNNNNNNNNNNNNNNNNNNNNNNNNNNNNNNNNNNNNNNNNNNNNNNNNNNNNNNNNNNNNNNNNNNNNNNNNNNNNNNNNNNNNNNNNNNNNNNNNNNNNNNNNNNNNNNNNNNNNNNNNNNNNNNNNNNNNNNNNNNNNNNNNNNNNNNNNNNNNNNNNNNNNNNNNNNNNNNNNNNNNNNNNNNNNNNNNNNNNNNNNNNNNNNNNNNNNNNNNNNNNNNNNNNNNNNNNNNNNNNNNNNNNNNNNNNNNNNNNNNNNNNNNNNNNNNNNNNNNNNNNNNNNNNNNNNNNNNNNNNNNNNNNNNNNNNNNNNNNNNNNNNNNNNNNNNNNNNNNNNNNNNNNNNNNNNNNNNNNNNNNNNNNNNNNNNNNNNNNNNNNNNNNNNNNNNNNNNNNNNNNNNNNNNNNNNNNNNNNNNNNNNNNNNNNNNNNNNNNNNNNNNNNNNNNNNNNNNNNNNNNNNNNNNNNNNNNNNNNNNNNNNNNNNNNNNNNNNNNNNNNNNNNNNNNNNNNNNNNNNNNNNNNNNNNNNNNNNNNNNNNNNNNNNNNNNNNNNNNNNNUUCUNUAAUCCUAGUAACACAGAAUUAUAUAAGGUAUUUUUUAAUAAAAUAACAUAAAUAUGAGAUGAGUAAUUGUAUUGUACUAAAAUAUUCAACAAUAAAGAUAAUAAAAUCGCAUAAAAUAAAUAUUAUUAAUAAGCUAUAAUGAAAACAAACAUAAUUUAAAAUUAUGACUAAUAAGUACUAAUUAUUUACAUGACUAACCACUAAAAGAAAAAUAAGUUAUACAUUUUAUCUAAACCAUGAAAAAACUAAAAAAUAGAUAUCGAACACUAUUUUUAUUCAUAGUACAAUUAAAUUGAAUGUCUUUUAUUAGCAUUAGUAUUGAUUUGAUUUUGGUUUAGGAUUUAUUUGAAUUACUAACAUUUAUGGACUUUAAAACUUAUUGGAGCAUCCAAAAAUUAUAAGUCCAAGCUUGAAAUAAUACGUUAAAAGAUAAAACUAUGAAAAAGUUUAAGAAAUAUUUUUGUAACUACACUACCAUAAAUAUUUUUAUGUAUUAAAUAUAUUUAAAACUUCUAUACAUAUAAUGUCGGGUUGGUUUGGUUUCGAUUUGACUUUUUUUUAGUUAAAACCAAACCAAACCAAAUAUGGUCGGGUUUUUUUUUCUCGGUUUGACUCGGAUUAUCGGGUUGGUGCAGUUUGUCGGUCUCAUUUGUACACCCCUACUAGAAACUAAAACAACUAACCCGAUGUAACAACAACAACAACAACUCAGUAUAAUCCCACUAGUGGGGUAUGGGGAGGAUAGUUUGUACGCAUACCUUACCCCUACCCUAGGGUAGAGAGGUUGUUUCCGAUAGACCCCCGGCUCCCUCCCUUCCAAGAACUCCCCACCUUACUCUUGGGAUGACUCGAACUCACAACCUCUUGGUUGGAAGUGGAGGGUGCUCAUCACUAGAGCAACCCACUCUUGUCAAGUAACCCGAUGUAACAUGUAAAAUUAAUUUGAUAGUCAAACAAAUUUAUACAGCUAAUAUAUUAUGAAUUCCAUUACACAAUUUCAUGAAAAUUAAAGAAUUAGAACUAACAUUAGUAACAAAGCCGAGGAAAAAAAUUGAAGUUCCAAGAAUGAGUACCGGUUAUUGGAAGUUCCCCUGCUUCAAUGAGUCGCGGAAGGCAGAAAAAUGCCCAGAAGCAACUAGCACUGAUUGUUCUAAAAAGUAUAGUUGGAAUGUUAAGUUCUCUUCCAAUAUCUAUUGUAAAGCACAUUAUUCCAUCGGCAAUUAUGCAUGUAAGAGGUGGCCUGUCAAGUAUACUAAAUCGACGAGCAAUGAGCAUCUCCAUAAAUCGUGGUUUAGUUACUGUGUCAAUGGAAUUAAAUAGGUCCACAACACGGUCACCAGUUCUCGGAUGAUCAUCGGGAAGCCCAUCAGGAAUUGUUUCAAAGUAUAAAUUAGGAUACUGCUUGUAACUUAAAUGAAUAUUAGUGUAACUUAGGAGACGUCGAUGAAUAAAAUCUGAGUUAAGAAAUGUAACGUGCAAGCCUUCCCGACAGAGUAGUUGUGCUAACUUGAGCAUACAGUUAACAUGGCCCUGUACAGGAAAGGGAAAUAUCAAGACAUGGGAAAGGCAAGAAGUUGGUUGGUCCAUAUAAAUUUUGUGAUUCUUGAAAUAUUAAUUCGAUCCUAUAUCGUAUUUUACCAUUUAUAUUGAGACAAUUUAGUUUGUUAUGAAUUGAAGCCAAAUUGUGAAUGCUUAUAUUCAGGGAAAUGCAUUGUACAUGCUUAUAUUUUCACACUUUUUGUAUUUCAAGCUUACCUUGCGACUCCUACGUAAUAAGCUAAGGCUUGGGGACAAGUUAAUAUCCGUGAUAUUUGUACAUCAUGCCUCUUUACAAUUUUGAAUUUAAGAAAAUUACCUUUUUAGAUCUCUUAUGUGUAAAAGACUGAUCUCUUAUGUAUAAAAAUAAAUCUCCCAUGUGUAAAAAAAAAAAUGUAAGGUCAUAAAACUAAAAACAAGUUUGUAAAGAGCCAAAAAAACUAAUUGACCCCAAGUUAUCAUGACACAUAAAGACAUACAAUUUCAUCAUACAACAUGUUUGUGAAGGGUAGAUAAUAUACAUAACAAUAACAAAAAAAGUUCUAAAAAUAGUAACACAACAACAGUGUAACACUUUAUAUGUUGGGGUAACUUAUAUAUCCAAUAAAGUUACUUGGUAGGUAAGACUACAUGGGAUAUAUUUUAUUCUUUUGCCCUUAUAACUAAUUAACUUUAUGGAGUCUUUUAGUUUCUAAUAACCGUAAUUGGUUUAAAUACUCAAUCUAAUUUCAUUCGAGUUCUUAAGUUUAUCUAGAGAUUGUAUUUUUUUUGUCAAUAUAGCCCAAUUAGACCCUUGAUUUUAUCAAUUUUCUUUGGAAGAGCUGGCUCCGGUCUAAUACAAUUCCUUCAUUAGUUUGUUCCGGGAAAUUUGGAUAAAGCUUUUACAGCAUAGGUAAUUUUUAAAGAGGUUUUUUUAACGGACGGGCUUAACGUCCACCCCCCUCUUUUUUUUCUUUUUUUUUCUUUUUUUGAAAUAUGUAUAGCGUAUAAAAAGCAAAUAUAUGACAUUUAAAAUAAAACUUAUAACAGGGUUAUUACAUUAGAAACCCUUUUUAGCGAAAAAUUAUAUUACCAUGUAAAUAAGGAAAAAUUAAAUUUUUUUGUUAUAUAUAAAUUGUUGAAUCCUUGUGACAAAAGAUUCUGAUGUAAUAACAAAUUAAAGCGAUUCAAAAUCUAUUUUAGAUUGCACGUUCAAAUUCUAUGUAUGAUAUUCUAGGUCUGUCAUGGUGUAAUAUUGGAAGAAGACUCAUUCUGUUGUCAUUCCAAAAAAAAAAACACUAUCUGAUAUGUACUUUCACGAAAUUUAUAAAUACCCCUUAUAAAAUUUGACUCGAAGUUUAAUUUACUCCACAGUUACAAAAAAAUAAUGGAAAAAACUUUAUAGUGGUAAUAGAAAUAGAUUACUCAACUUGUAAACACCCAUGCACUUAAGAACAUUUCAAUUUGUCCGAAAAAAGUUGAAACACCUUGCCUUUGAACUUACGGCUCUUACUCUCCAUAAAAACAAAGUGACUAACAUAUUGUCUCUUUUUAUUUGUAUCCCAUAAUAAAAGGUUGGUUAAAGUUUCUUUAUGUAAUUUCUCUAGUCACAAACACUUGGUAAAACUUCAAGUUUCAUGCUGAGAGUGAAAAAUAGCUUACAAUUUGAUGAUGAAUUUUCGAAGCUUCUCAAAAGAUUACUUUAUUCCAAAGGUUCCUCAGUUAUUUGGCAAAAGAAUUAAGGGAAGUACAUUUUAUCCUUCAAUUUGACUUGUUUGAGUAACGAGAGGGAGCUUCUCGCUUCCUCUUUUAAAUUCAGGGACGGAUGUACCAUUUUAGAUACGGAUACGAUUGAAUCCAUCAUGGAUGAAUAUAUAUGAGCAAAAUAAAAUAUUGGGUAUCAGUAUAAAAAAUGACACCGUUUAUUAUUGUAGUAAUUUAUUCACUUAUUCUUUUUUUCAAAAGUCUUACAAAAAAUCCUGCUUGCGCCACUGGAACCCAUAACUUUUGACGCGGAGCGUAUAUUUACGUGUAAAACUUCGUUGGUAUUGUAAUAACUAGUUGACAUGAAUUUAUAACUUUAAAAAUAUAAUGAGUUUAAUGUUAAAAGUCAUAAAGUUUGAACCCAUAGAGUUUAAAAUCUAAAUUUGUCUUUACUAUUGAUCACUUUUCAAUACGAGGCAACCAAUGAUAAUUAAAUGAAAAAAAAAGCCUUUUAAUAUGUAGUUUAUAUUUGUUUGACCAAAAAAUAUUGAUCUUGGUUCAACUAAUUAAAUUUAUAUAAAUGAGGGUUAUCUUAGUUAAUAAUAAUAUUUCAAAGACAAAAUUCCCGGUAGUGUGAUAAAUAGCUCGUAGAUUUAUUCCAAAAGCUAUAACAAUACACAAUGAUCAAUAUUUAAGAACCCAAACAGAAGUAACGACGCAUUAAAUAGUGAUGAAUAGCAAUAAAUAAUAUUUAUAUAAAUAGAACGAAUGAGUCACCUGAGAAGGGAUGAAAUCAAUGGAUGUUUUUUCUGACAAUGGUGAACGAUGGAUAAGCCUUUGAAUAUCCAAGUUAUUCUCGGAUCCAGUGGAAAAGUGCGGACAAAAAUCUUAGUGAAAAGAUUAUUUUUGUAGGCUUGCAAUAAGAUCAGAUUCUCUCUAUAAAGUCAAAGUAUAUUUUACAAAUGAAUAUCUCAUGCCCCUUAUCAUUGUGUCUCUUUCUAUUUAUAGGAAACAUGUUCCUAGAAACCUUAGUAGUACAAGUGCAGAAUAUAUCCACUAGAAUAUUCUCUUUAAUGUUCUAUCUUGAAACUAGCCGUUAUAACUCUGUCAAGUAUAUCCGACCUCGACCUCGGUCCUUGAUGACUCCUCGACUUCAGCUCUUGCUGACUCUUCGACCACAGCCUUCAUUGUUCCUUAGAUUACUUUGACACGUGGUGGCCUAGGAACGUUUCGCUAAUACCAUUUUGACUUAAGUAUUCUAGAGAUAGAUUUUGACUCAUAUAGUUAGUCCCCCCGCUUAUUGAGGUCGGCUUCACGGGCGGGUUCGAUGAGCAGAUCAUGCUGUUAGUGGUCGAGUUGGUCAAGUGGACUACACGGGUCGUGGUUGUUGCGGCGAGCAGGCAACGUGGCCCUCUGUGGGCCGCACAUUUCGAAUGCUUCGAAUUUCCCGGAUGAUUCGCAAAAGUUAUAUUGUCCAUGGGUUAGGAUGACGUUAUAAUGUCAUGCGUCAUUAUGACGCAUAUUCCCGAUACGUCACUUUGUUUCGCGGGUGACCUUUAAUUAGACCUGCCACUUUAGUUCUGGUGCCAAUCAUAAUGAACCGUUUUUGAUUUCGGUGCUAUGACCUUUAUAAAUAGAGAUCCAUGAACCCGAUUUUGGAGUUUAAACCUUCUAACGUUUCGAAGCACCAUACCUUUCUUUUGCUCUCUUCUUCUUCGAAUUUCAUUUCUCUAUUUCAGUGAUCUAUAUUGUUCUUUAUUCCCUCUCGUUCGUUACUCUUAUUCACUACGUUGAAUCAUGUUUAACGUAUCUUCUGAUGCUGAUAAGGGGAGCCGAGUUGCUCCCUUGGCAGUGGUGUUUCCCUCCCAUAGGGAGAGCGCUUCCGUCAUUGUUGAGGAUGAAACCUUCCCGUCGGUGGAGGAAAUAAUCUUGCGUAACCCUGACUCCAGGUCUGAUCUUACCAAAGUACUGGAUGUCGCGCCUAGAGUUUUUAAAUCAACAUUGACACCUAAGGAAUUGGCGGAACUUAAGGCCAAAUUUGGCCUUCCCAACCAUGUUGAGGUGAUCCCUGCUGAGGGGAACGUAGUACAGGUCCAUCGUCAUGGGUACUGCGCUCUUUAUGCUUAUUCAUUCCUGAUCAGUUAAUCUUUCCCCCUCCUCCUGCUAGUGGAGGAGUUUUGUCAUCACUAUGGUGUAUUCCCGGCUCAGCUUCCACCGUACGUCUACAAGGUGAUUAAGAUGCUGACCAAAUUCGCUGAGCUGGCCGGGGUCGAGCUGACACUACAGCACUUGAUACACCUAUUCGCCCCUGGCUUUUAUGGGGGGGCGGUGAUGAACCUUAUCCACCGAGGAGGCAAAUAUUUGGUAGUGAAGAUGGACGAUAAAGACAAUCGUCAGUUCUGGCUUAACUUCUUCUUUGUCAGGACCGAGGACGUUGUGGCCAACGUCAACGGCUUUCCUGAAGCUUGGAACUACACUUGUGAGUGCCCUGUCUCUUUCUGCUUUCAUGUUUGGUUCCGAACUUUGAUGUUUUUUCUCUUUUGCAGCCAACGGCCAACCUCCUCCUCUAGUCUCUCAUAUCUCUGAUUGGUCGAGCGACUCCUCCCUCACACCGUAGGGAUCCGUGAUUGGCCAAGUUUUUUCAAUAAAUUCAAGCUUGCUCUCCCUUCGACUGGUAAUUUCUUUGUUUUGAUCGUGGCUGCUCCAUCUCGUAUUGUGUAUAGAUUCGUUUUGCUGACUUAAUGUUGUCUUUUUCUUAGGCAGGGGUUCUCUAAGGAGCCUGGCACUAGUGCCUUCUUUCCGAAAGGCAGUUGCUGCAUCGUCGGCUUCAGCUCCUGUUGUGACUACUACGAUGUCCGUACAUGUCUUAACCUCUAUUACGGUAGUUCGGGAUCCCGUCUCCGUCCCAUCUGCAACUCCUGCUCCCCAACUCUUCUCAUUAGUUGAUGAGGACGAUGUCUCUCCUGAUGACGGUGGUUUAAUGCCACGUAAGAGGAGAGCUAUGGAUACGGAGAGAGAGAGAGGCCGACAGCGAUUUAUGUGGGAGGUUGUGGCUUUUUCCUUCGAAAAACGGUCACAAUACAUAUUAGAGAGAGUCCCGAGGCAAUUCCCGAGGCCCCUUACUUGGAGGAAACGAGCAUGCAUCCCGUGGGGGACACGGUCGAGGGCGUGGUGCAUAAUGAUGCCCCUACACUUCGAGGCGGGUGGAGACCUCAUCUUCCGGGGUCGUGGCGAAUGUGCCUUCUUUGAUUGAUGAUAGAAGGAAGGUCGUCACUGAGGAGGACGCUGGGUCUGACUCCGUAAAGGAUAUGGACGAGUUGAGGAUGAUCGAUGAGGGGCUCACUCAACUCGAAGUGAGGUUGGAAGGGGGUUCAAGGACUAUUGCGAUCCCGAUGGAUCGUAACCUACUUGUAAAAACCGAGGAAAUAAUCCUUGCUCUUGGUCCCCUUUGUUCUAAAGUUGAGGGUACGACUCUCGAGACGGUAGAUGACAACACUUUGUCUAAUACUCCCUCCAUUUCAAUUUAUGUAAACCUAUUUCCUUUUAGUCCAUGCCAAAAAGAAUGACCUAUUUCCGUAUUUGAAAAUAAUUUACCUUUAUGCAAUGAUUUAUAGCCACACUUCAAAGUCUUCUCUCUUUUGUUAAACUCCGUGCCCAGUCAAAUGGGUUCACAUAAAUUGAAACAGAGAGAGUAAUAUUUCUAGUCUUGCUCUCCGAGUAAGUAACCACUGUCCGUUUUUUUCUUUAAUUUUUUGUUUUCUUUCGUAAAUUCUAAUUUCGUUUCUUUUUUUUGUAGACGAUUAUUUUGGAUAUCGAGAGUGAUCGCCGGGAGCAGAAGUGUAAAGAUAUUUACGUGAAGUUGAAAGACGAGUAUUUCAAAUGUCUUAAGAAGUACAGGGAGCUCUGGUGUCGGCUCCUUGAGGGCAGUGAUGUGCGACAACUGAGGGAGGAUUUGAAAGAGCAGGACGAGGAGUUAAUGUGGGUUGUGGAGAAAUGCAGCAUCUUUAAAGGGAUGUUGAGGGGCAAAGAGCAGGAGCUCGAGCUUAGUAGGGGCGUAGAUUCCCAAUGCAGCGAUCUCCAAGCCCAAGUGGUCCUACUGCGCGGCCAACUCGAAGAAUGUUAGUUUAGGGCGCAGGCUCUAAGUGAAGAGGUCGUCGAGAAGUAAGAUGACCUAGAGAAGGCGGAGUCGUCGGAAGCUCUGAGGAAGGCAGAGUCCCUUAAAGUGGUGAUGCAAACUCUCCGUUCUGAAGUGGAAAAUGACUUGUUGACGACAAGGCUUAAAGAAGAGUGGCAUGAUGAAAUGAUUGGGGAACUGGAGAAAGAGACCUCUGACCAUUAUGAUCGGGUUCCUGCUCUGGAGGCUGAGAAGGCUAAACUACUUGAUCAGCCUUCUUUAUCUGCGGCUUCUAGCUUCCCUAACAUUCCUUGUGAGUUGUACGAAUAAUGGAUUCACGCCGAAGCCCGACUGGAUGUGCUUCGUGAGUUUCAUAUAGCGGGCUCUGUUUCUGCCGCAGACCUCAAGGGUGCUCGUGUCAAGGCUCGCGAGGCUCGAAUUGCUUGUGGCUAUGUUCCGACUACUCCUCGUCCUGGUGAGAAAGAGGAGGGCGAUAAGGAUGAUAUAUAUUGCCUCGAGGACGAGGCCUGGUAUGAUUUCAUAUACCCUUUGGGCAAGGAUGGAGCGGGCGCUGAGAGUCGAACCGAUAAGGGUGUUGCAAGCCGUGAUGGUAGUGAUUAGUAGUAGUUCUUUUUCUUGCUUUUUCUGAAGUUUUUGUGUAUUUUUACUGGCGUCUUUAAGAGCCUUUGUAAGAAACCUUUGUUUAUAAUAUCAGAGUUGGCUUUUUCUUUUAUUUGCACCUUUUUUAUUUUUGUGGUUUGUUUCUGUACUUUGCGCGUUUUGCUCCUUUAUGUUUUUGCCGUUAUCCUUGUAUAUAUCAAGGUUUAUCGGAAUGAGGCCGAAGAUUAAUAGGCAUUAUUCGAACUUGGUCAAAUUUUUACUUCUUUAAAUCGUGACCGAGGGUCGGUAGGUGUUGUUCGUACUUGGUCGAACUUAUCUUUUAGUAAUCUUGACCGAGGAAUGGUAGGUGUUGUUCGAGCGGAGUCGAACAUAACCUUUUCAUAGUCGUGGCCGAGGGCCGAUAGGUAUUAUUUGAGCAGGACCAAACAUAACCUUUUCAUAGUCAUGGCCGAGGUCCGAUAGGGGUUGUACGAGCGGGGCCAAACAUAACCUUUUCAUAGUCGUGGCCGAGGGCCGAUAGGUGUUGUUUGAUCGGGGUCGAACAUAACCUUUUCGUGGUCGUGGCCGAGGGCCGAUAUGUGUUGUUUGAGCCAUAACCUUUUCUUAGUCGUGGCCGAGGGCCGAUGUGUGUUGUUCGAGCGGGGUCAAACAUAACCUUAACACAAAAAGGUGUCCUAAUAAACGUAAAUUUUUUAUCACUUUGACGUUGUUGUUUUGGUUACAUACUUGGAGAGAGUUACAGAUUUUGGGUGUUGGGUAGCGUUCUAGUCCCAGUCUACCUAAUCCCUUCAUUGUUUGACUUGGAGAGUAUCGAGGAGUGGAGCAAUGAAAGAGUAAAAAUAGUCCCUACCUCGCGUACUUCGACUGGAGGUGUUCCCUUCGCUGCCUCGUUAAAAACCUCCGUAAGAAAACCCAAAUGGGACAAAACUCAAGUGAGGAAAAAAAUAUACGAUUUGGAGGACAUUUUUUCUCUUAGAAGUUGAAGUAUUUGAGCUGGUUGAUGUUCCAAUUGUUUGGUAGUUGCUUUCCUUACAUUGUCUCUAAUUGAAAUGAACCCUUGUUUUGUUUUGGCUGUGAUCUUGUAUGGACCGCCCCAGUUUGUUCCCAGCUUGCCUUCCCAGGGGUCUUCGCUCACUUGAGUUUUGGCUUUUAGUACGUAGUCCCCAACUUUAAGUGGUUGGACCUUUGCUUUCUUGUUGGAACAACGUUCUGCUUGUUGUUUUGGGCGACCAUUAUUAUGUACGCCAUAUCUCUUCGUUCAUCGAUUUCGUCGAGUUCCUACCUUCUACUCUCAUUAUUACUCGUACCGAUUUCGUGGGAGUACCUUAGGCUGGGUUCUCCGACUUCAACCGGUAUUACUGUCUUGGUCCCAUAUACCAAAGAGUAGGGUGUCUCUCCUGUGCUCGUCUUCGGAGUUGUUCGGUACGCCCAUAAUACUUCUGGCAGUAUUUCCGGCCACAGUCCUUUGGAGGCUUCGAGCUUUUUCUUUAUGAUGUUUAGUAUGGACUUGUUGGAGGAUUCUGCUUGUCCGUUCCCCGUUGGAUGAUAUGGGAUCGAAAGUAUCCUCUUGAUAUGCCAUUUCUUGAAGAAUUCAGCGGUUUACUUUCCCGUGAACUGGAGUUCAUUGUCACAACUGAUCUCUUUGGGUAGGCUGAAUCGGCAGAUGAUGUUCUUCCAUAUAAAGAUGAUUACCUCUUGUUCCUAUAUUUGGGCGAACACUCCUCCUUCCACCUAUUUAAAGAAAGAGCCCCUCCGGAGUCUGUACACAUCCCCAGUGAGCGCAGGUACCUACUGAGUGUGAGUGCCGAGUGCCGAGUGAUGAGUGACUGGGAGGCAUGAGUGAUUGUGAGGUAUGCCCGAUGGGCUGUUUACGAGUGAUUGUGAGGUAUGCCCGAGGGGCUGUUUAUGAUUUUAUCACUGAGUUGCAUCGCAUUGACAUGCACACAUGACAUACGGGCAUAGAGAUGGAUUUUUUUCUCAUGUUGUACAGUAUCACAUCAUUCAUGAUUUCUCACACAUGUUGACAGAUGGGCAUAGUGAUGCAAUUGUUUUAUAUGGGUUAUUUGGAAAGGAAAUGAAACAUCACAUUUAUUAUUGAAANNNNNNNNNNNNNNNNNNNNNNNNNNNNNNNNNNNNNNNNNNNNNNNNNNNNNNNNNNNNNNNNNNNNNNNNNNNNNNNNNNNNNNNNNNNNNNNNNNNNNNNNNNNNNNNNNNNNNNNNNNNNNNNNNNNNNNNNNNNNNNNNNNNNNNNNNNNNNNNNNNNNNNNNNNNNNNNNNNNNNNNNNNNNNNNNNNNNNNNNNNNNNNNNNNNNNNNNNNNNNNNNNNNNNNNNNNNNNNNNNNNNNNNNNNNNNNNNNNNNNNNNNNNNNNNNNNNNNNNNNNNNNNNNNNNNNNNNNNNNNNNNNNNNNNNNNNNNNNNNNNNNNNNNNNNNNNNNNNNNNNNNNNNNNNNNNNNNNNNNNNNNNNNNNNNNNNNNNNNNNNNNNNNNNNNNNNNNNNNNNNNNNNNNNNNNNNNNNNNNNNNNNNNNNNNNNNNNNNNNNNNNNNNNNNNNNNNNNNNNNNNNNNNNNNNNNNNNNNNNNNNNNNNNNNNNNNNNNNNNNNNNNNNNNNNNNNNNNNNNNNNNNNNNNNNNNNNNNNNNNNNNNNNNNNNNAAGGAAAUGAAACAUCACAUUUAUUAUUGAAAGGAUUUUGGAAAAAUCACACUUUUCAGACUUACUCAUAUUUUGGUGAUUUUAGUGAAAAUAAUUGAGUUUUACUAUUAUAUUUGAAAAGAAAAAUAUUUAUUUUUCCAGAACUAUGAACGAACUGAGCACUUUAUUAUUGAGUUAUUCAUUGUGCUGCCUCAAUUCUGUUGUUAUGAGAUUUAUUUUUUGGAUAUUAUUGUGGACUAUUGGUUUUGAACCCGACCUUGGUAAAAGCUCGUCACUACUUUAAACCUAAGGUUAGGUUUGUUACUUACUCAGUACAUGGGGUCGGUUGUACUGAUACUACACUUCUGCACCUUGUGUGCAGAUGUUGGCUAUUGUUGUUGUUGUGCUCGAUGGUUGCAGGAUUUGAAGGUGUACAUGCGUUCAUGUUGUAGCUGCCUCUUAUUCAUGGUAGCCUUAGAUUUAUAAAAGCUCUGUUUAUGUAUUAUUCAAACAGACUAUGUAUUAAUUUUAUUUUCGCUUGUAUACUAUAUUCUUAGAAGCUCAUGAUUUGUACUACCAAUUCUUGGGAAAUGUAUAAGAUUAAGAUCUUUAUUCACUUAAAUUGCUUUAAUAAUUGUUAUUGAAAUUGGAUAAUUGAAAGUUGGCUUACCUAGCGGGUUAGGUUAGGUGCCAUUACGACUAGUUGGAUUUUGGGUCGUGACAGGUACGCAAUGAUCAAUAUUUAAAAAUUCAAACAUAAGUAAUGAAGCAUUAAAUAGUGAUGAAUAGCAAUAAAUGACAUUUAUGUAAAUAGAACGAAUGAGUCACCCGAGAAGGGAUGAAAUCAAUGGAUGUUCUUUCUGACAAUGAUGAAUGAUGGAUAAGCCUUUGAAUAUCUAAGUUAUUCUCGGAUCCAGUGAAAAAGUGCGGACAAGAAUCUUAGUGAAAAUGUUAUUUUUGUAGUCAUGCAAUGAGAUUAGAUUCUCUCUAUAAAGUCAAAAUAUCUUUUACAAAUGAAUAUCUCAUGUUCUCUAUCAUUGUGUCUCUUUCUAUUUAUAGGAAACAUGUUCCUAGAAACCCUAGUAAUACAAGUGCAGAUAAUAUCCACUAGAAUAUUCUCUUUAAUGUCCUAUCUUGAAACUAGCCGUUAUAACUCUAUCAAGGGUAUUCGAUCUCGGUCUCGAUCCUUGAUAACUCCUCGACUUCAACCCUUGCUGACUCUUCAACUACGAUCUUCUUUGUUCCUUAGAUCACUUCGACACGUGGCAGUCUAGGUACGUUUCGCUAAUGCCACUUUGACUUACAUAUUCUAGAGAUAGAUUUUGACCCAUACAAUAUUCUCACUAUUCUUUUUCCUUUUUUUAAUUUUCUUAUCUAAAAUAGAGAAAUUUCUAAAAUUGAAUGUACGUACCUUGCAAAUAAAAUUAGUCCGAACUGAAAAUUAAUGGGGUUUGCGAGGCAGAGCAUGUGCAAUGUUACAAAGCCAACCAUCCGGUUAGACGGGGCUGCCGUUGUAUAGCUGUUUUUACUGUGACAGUUCAUAAACAUAUUCAGAUAAAAAUAAGAGUUAAUUUCACGGAUAAUUUUGUAACUACGGUCAUAACAACAAAUUUACUAACAAAAAAAAAUCUCAAAACGAAAAUAGCUGAGAAAAUAACAAAAUAUAGUUAGCUGCGACCCACAUAAGCAAAAACUGCCAAGUCAUCUAUGCUGCCAUGUCAUCAACAGACAUAAAUUUCCACGUGGAAUCCUACUAAAAAGAAGAUAAAAUAGUUGAUAAUUUGAUUGAAUGAUAUCUCAUGUUUAAAGUUACUACUACUUUACUUCACAAAAUAAGUGUUGCUACUUUACUUCACAAAAUAAGUUCCUUUCUUCGUCAUGCUCUAUCCUUUCCUUUAACAAUAUCUCACCUUCUGUAAAGGGAAUACUCAAAAAAGGCUUAGUAGAAAAAAGGUCAAAAAUAAAAAAUAAAAAAAAUUCUGUUUUAUUCCCCUGUGACAGAAAAUAAAAGCGAAUUUAUAACUUUGUGGAGCCGACAAAUUUUGAUGACAUUUUAUUAAAAGCAUAAUUUUUUAUUCGUAUACAGUGAUAUAACUACCAAUUUUAUUAUUGUAAAAUUAUAAAUUAAAAUAAAGCUUAAUAUUUGAACUUUUUUCAGGAUAGAAAAGAUCACAUGACUCAACUCCGCUUUACCAAUUUAUUAUUGAUGCAAAGACAAUUUGAAGAAAUGACAUUUUUUGUUUACAUUUAAUUUGAAUAGAAGAAAAUUAUCUCCAACAUCUCAUGUGUUUUAUUUACAAAUCUUUUGUGUUAUUUUAAUUCUUUUCUUGUGAAAAAGAUCAUACAACUAAAAAAUGUUUAUAACAAAAUAUGAUAUUAAAACUCCUGGAUAGUUUUUAUUGCAAAAUUAUUUUUUGAAUAUGGAAGAACAACCUAUCGUUUGGUCUUUGAAUAAAAAAAUAAAUGUGUAAUUUUAAAUGUUAUUAUUGCGAUCUCAUGUGGGCUUGAACAACCUAUCAUUUUGUGUUUGCUUCAACAGUAAAUGUAUAAUUUCAAACGUUAUUAUUGCGAUCUCAAGCGGGCUUGAACUGUUUUUUCUCCCUUCAUAUACAAUAUUUAAAACUUAUUUAUCAAAAUUGUCCUAAUUUUGUAUAUUUUCCGCACUAAACAAGGAUUACUUACAAAUUAUAUACAAUCCAUUAUUAAUGUCUUAAAUGAGGGGAUUUAGUUACAUCAUUUUCCUAUUUUCUCUCUACACCUCUUUCCAUAAGCAUUUUUCUUUCCAAAUUCAAUCAAAUAGAGGACCGCGAGAACCAUAUGAGAUAAAAUCUACUAAUAUAUUUUGACCAGCAGUAUGUUCCCUUUUCAAGAAAUGUAGAAAAAAAUUAAAAAAAGAAAGAAAUAUUAGAACAGGUAAAGACAUUGAUGAGAAUAUUUACCAUAUCUCCAAACAUUUCAAGAAAUUAUCUGUACAAGUGAUAAGCGAACCUUUCUCCACUUUUGGCAGCCCAACCAGUAACGACUUCAUCAUUGAGUCCAAGGUUCAAAACAAUAUCCAUCAUCCCAGGUAUAUAAAUCUAUAAGUAGAUCAAGCAAAAAUUAUCAAAGGAAUAAAUAGAAAUUAAGUAAACUGCAUACAUUAAGAGGUGAAGUCGUUUUUAUUUUGUUGAAGACUUUACUUUCCACGACAAUUUCUAGUUCAAUCAGAUAUGAAGUCUAUAGGCUGAAACGUGUAUGUCAUGAAUCAAUGCACAUGAGUCAAUUUAGAAUUCACUCUCUACUUUUCUUUCUUUAACAAUCGAAUAAAAAAAAGAAUAAUGUAUCAUACAAUAACAUACAAAUUUAAAAAUAAAUUAUGUAUAAAUUUAAUACAAAUUUAAUAUAUUUACAACAACAUACAUCCUAAAGAUAAAUUUCAUACAACUAAUUAUAUAGUAUACAACUUAUUUACAACUUUUAUACAUUAUUUUUACACAGUUAANNNNNNNNNNNNAGAGAGAGAGAGAGAGAGAGAGAGAGAGAGAGAGAGAGAGAGAGAGAGAGAGAGAGAGAGAGAGAGAGAGAGAGAGAGCGAGAGAGCGAGAGAGAGGACAUGAGAGAGAGACGGAGAGAGAUAGAGAGAGCGCAGGAGAGAGAGAACAUGGAUGGGAAAGAACUGAUUCCUUAUUAAAUUCCUAAUAUAAAGGGAUACUCAUUUAAAAUUAAUUUGUAUAUAAUUGGUAAAUUGUAUAUGGCCAUGUAAUUAAGUUAAAACUUGAUUAGGGAGGGUAAUAAAGUUUUAUAUGUAGUAUAGGAAGGUAAAACUCCCUUAUUUGAUCUUCAACUAGUUAAGAGAUAUUCUGUCCGGUCCACUUUAAGUGAUUUUUUGACCUUUUUUUGUGCUUCAUAAUAUUUGAUUUUUUUAAAUAUCAAGAAGGAAUUAACUUUUUCUUUUCAAAGUUACCAUUGGAGUAAAGAGCCUAGGAAUAGUUUGUUAUAUUUUCAAUAAAUAAGUUAAGGUUAAUAUGAUCACUUUUAUUAUUAAUCAAUGCUAAAAGAUAAUUUUUUUAAUAGGUGUGAAAAAACUAAAAAAAUUACUUAAAGUGGACCGGCGGGAGUAGCAAAGAGAAGAAACGGCAUUAACCUCCCCGUCUUCACCCCUUCGCUUUCCUCCCCCAAUACCUCCCCUCCCCCCCCCCCCAAAAAAAAAAAAACCUUCCCCAAAAAAGAAAAUAAAAAUAAAAAUAGAUGGUUUAAAGGACGGACUGCUGCCAAUUAAUCUAGAAAAAAGAUUGAAAGCGCGUAACUGAUAAAGGAACUUGCUAUAUGAAUAACGUUUAUCAUCUUAAUUAAGUACGUUUCUAUACUUGAAUUUUCAAUCCUAAUGUCCAAUUAUUAUUUUGUUUUUUCCAUAAAUGAUCUUUAUUUGGGUGCCAACUGCCAUGCAAGUUUUUCUCGCCGACUAAGCGGGGAACAUUUUUUUAAUUAACACAAAUUUAACGUGGCCCAAAAUCUCACCUAGCAAAAUAUUGAGUGCUUGUUUAAAUAACUUUUUUUUUCUCAAUGGAAUUGUCAUUUGCGUUAAAAGCAGCUUCAUUUCUCUAAAGCCAAGAAAAGUUUUUACCGCAGUCAAAACAUUUACGUGGGUCCAAAUGUCUAACCUAGUAAAAUUUUGGGGUGUUUGUUUAAAGAAUAUUUUAUUUCAAAAUAUUUGCUAUUUGGGACCUGAGCACCUCUUACUUUUGUCUUGACGUGCUGGCAUGUCAAUUAACUCGUAGACGAUAGACGUGGGGGCCUUGAAAAUCUACCCACUACACGACACAGUUUUUCGUUUAUUAAAAUCUCCUUUAAUAUCAUUUUAAAUAUAUAUAUAUAUAUAUUUCAAAGUACUAAACUGCCGUUGUCAUUGAAAUCGGUGCCCCUCUUAAUAAAAUUUAAUAAAACUUAAUUUGUGAGUACUUGCACACCAAUCUGGCACCGCCAUUGUUUUCUUUGACCCUUUUUUUUCCUUUCAAAAACGAGUAGUGUAGUUGGCAGAUUGUAGUGAUUGAAUUUUUUUUGUAGAAUAAACAAAAAAGAGUAUCUUAAUAUUAAGUCAAUAAUAAUUCAAAUUUGAAACCAAGAUUUUAUUAGUAAAAUUUAAUAGACGUGCUGGCAUGUAAUUAUAAUGUGUCCCCAAUUACUAACUUAACACAAAGAGCUGUGAAGGAAUAAAUAGAGGUGGCUACUUUGCUAUUUAAUUCAAAUCAAUUCAUUCAUUCACAUGCCCAUCUUCUCAAUACUUACAAACAAGAUACUAAACACAACACAUUCACAUUACGUAGUUUUGGUUUCUCACUGAAUGAAAUCUAUAUUUUCCCUUCAUUUUCUUCAUCUUUGAAUCCCUCCCAUUCAAUAUCAAGAAAAUAGGAGCAAUGCGGCCUCCUAGCCGCCUUCAUUCUUUGUUCAUUUCCUUUCUUGUUAUUUCCCUUUUGUCAUUUCAGAUCUAUGGACAAGAAGGAGAUAUCGAUCUUGAUGAUAUCAAGGACGAUGCUAAUAAGUUGAGUUUCGAAAACCCAAAGCUUCGUGUUGCAUAUAUUGCGUUACAAACAUGGAAAGCAGCUAUGUUUUCUGACCCUUUUAACUUCACUGCAAAUUGGACAGGACCAAAUGUUUGUUCCUAUGGUGGGGUGUUUUGUGCUCAAUCUUUAACCAAUGAUUCUAUUAGAGUUGUAGCUGGCAUUGAUCUUAACCAUGCUGAUAUUGCUGGUUAUUUAGUUCCAGAACUUGGUCUUCUCACAGAUCUAGUUCUUUUCCACCUCAACUCGAAUCGUUUUUGUGGUAUCGUACCUAAAACCUUUAGCCAUUUGAAGCUUCUUAGGGAGCUUGAUUUGAGCAACAAUAGGUUUGUUGGUGGGUUCCCUAAAGUGGUUCUUUCUUUGCCUUCUUUAAAGUUCUUGGAUCUAAGGUUUAAUGACUUUGAAGGGCCAGUUCCUUCUAAACUUUUCGACAAAGAUUUGGAUGCUUUGUUCCUUAAUGAUAAUAGAUUUCGUUUUGGCAUUCCUGACAACUUGGGCAACUCCCCUGUUUCUGUUCUUGUAUUUGCUAAUAACAAUCUUGGAGGAUGCAUUCCAGCAAGCAUCGGGAAAAUGGGCAACACUCUGAACGAGCUUAUACUAAUGAAUGAUAAUCUAACUGGUUGUUUGCCAAUGGAGAUUGGAAUGCUGAAGAAGUUAACAGUCUUUGACGUGAGCUUUAACAAGAUUCAAGGCCCGUUGCCAUCAACUGUGAGCAGAAUGAGGAGUGUUGAGCAACUCAAUGUGGCUCACAACAAGCUCACUGGUGUUAUACCAGCUAGUAUUUGCCAACUCCCCAGGUUACAAAACUUUACUUAUUCUUUCAAUUAUUUCACUGGGGAAGCUCCGGUUUGUGCUGCAGCUAGAUCUGGUAGAGUCAUUGACGGUGAAGAAAAUUGCAUUGCUGGAAAGGAAGACCAAAGAUCUGCUAAAGAAUGCUCUUCUGAUGAUGCAAAACCAUAUGAUUGUAGAAAAUCUCAGUGCUUUAGCCGUUCAGCUAUAUCUCCUGUAGUAAAACCAAGACCAAAACCAACCCCUAAGCCAAAAAGACCACCAGUUCAGAACAAACCACCAGCACCUAAGCCAUCUCCUCCUACAAAACCUAUUGUACCAAUUGAAUCUCCACCACCACCUUCUUCCAAAUCUUCGGGGUCCCAUUUUAAGCGCUCUCCGCCGCCACCUCAAUCAACUCCUCCGCCAUCACCACCACCACCACCACCUGUUUAUAGCAGUUCCCCGUCGCAUCAACAUAGAAGUCCACCACCUCCUACCCACAAAAUUUCACCUGUAACUCGUCACGCUCCACCUCCUCCACCUCCACCAAGUCCGGUAUAUUAUCACCACCCAUCACCACCACCUCCACAACCAGUAUAUUACGCGCCACCAACAUAUAAACCUCAAUCACCACCACCACCUCCACCACCAGUACAUUACGAGCCACCAACGUACACACCUCAAUCACCACCACCACCUCCACCAGUACAUUACGAGCCACCACCAUACACACCUCAAUCACCACCACCUCCACCAGUACAUUACGAACCACCAACGUACACACCUCAAUCGCCACCACCACCAGUAUAUGUGACACCGUCUUCACCACCACCACCAGUAUAUGAGCAUCCAAAACCUCCAACUCCAACUCCAUCACCACCAGCUGGGUACACACCUCCCCAGGAGCCAUCACAUCCUGCCCCACCUACCCCA